rnacentral:lncRNA from 1 species
CAUUGGAAGUUUGCCCUUUCUAAGAAUCCUAAAUCUAUCAGGAACUUGUGUCAGUGAAGUUCCAAAGACCAUCAGCAUGCUUCCUCGCCUACAAAGAAUCGAGUUGAUGGAAUGCAAUAAUAUUCAAGAGUUGCCGACCCUCCCAACAAGUUUAACCCAUCUAAAAGUGUCAUCUAAAUUGUUGCGGGUAGUCUCGGAUCUUUCGAACUUGACUAAUUUGGUUGAGUUGUAUCUAUCAGGAACUUGUGUCAGUGAAAUUCCAAAGACCAUCGACAUGCUUCCUCGCCUACAAAGAAUCGAGUUGAUGGAAUGCAAUAAUAUUCAAGAGUUGCCGACCCUCCCAACAAGUUUAACCCAUCUAAAAGUGUCAUCUAAAUCGUUGCGGGUAAUCUCGGAUCUUUCGAACCUGACUAAUUUGGUUGAGUUGGAUCUAGUUCAUUGUGAAAUAUUAAGAGAUACACUUUGUACCAAUGAGUUACGGUGGAUUGGAAAGUUAUCCAAACUGACCAAAUUGAGCUUCGGACUUCAAAAUGUCCCUAUACCUACUGAGAUGGCUUCCCUUCCUAUGCUAAAUGAACUUUAUUUGUAUGCAUUCAACCUACAAACCUUUCCGCAACUACCCCUAUCUCUAGAAAAGCUAAGGCUUAGAAAUUUCAAUUCAGUUGUGUCAGUCUCUCUAAACCUAAGAAAUUUGUUAUGUUUAGAGCUGUAUGAUUCUCCAUUGCAAGAAAUACAGCUUGAUGGGCUUCAACUUCCACAGCUAAAGGAGUUGCAUGUGGCAAGCUGGCAAUGCCUCGAGAGGUUGAGGCUAUCAAGAAUGAGGAAGCUAAACGACGUCAAGGUGAAUUUUUGUAUAAAGUUAGUUGAGAUCCAAUUUUCUUGGGUGUUCGAAUCAUUGGAGGCAUUGACUAUUCGAGGUGGCAAGUCCUUGGAAAGGAUAGUUUAUGAGUCUGAUAAUGAAUUGAUUAGUUGUGAAGGGAGGCUAAUUUUUCCAUCGACAGUCUUAAAUAAGUUGCGUACUCUCUCCCUGUGGUGGUGCCCUAAGAUACUCGACAUUCAAGUUGUAGGUAUGUUGGAAUCGUGGGAAGGCUUUGACAUUCAGGGUUGUCCUUACUUGCAACAUCUCGGUGGUUUGUCAAACUUAAAGAACCUGAAGUCUUUAUCAAUCAAGGUCUGCGAGAGUCUAUGGGAUGUCGAGGGAGUCGACGAGUUGAAGUUUUUGAACCGUUUAACACUUGAUGAUUGCGGAUCGUUGGAAAGGUUGAUUGAUGUGUCAACCACCAAACUACCAAAUGAUUGCCACGUACGGAUCAAAAGGUGCAGGAGAUUACCUGGGGUUAAGAAAAGAUUCAGCGGCUCCGUCCAAUCCUUCAAGCAUCAUAAGGCGAGUCUGGAUCAUUCUCUCUAUUUCUUUUUUAUAUUUUUUUGACCCAACCGUCCACGAACACCAAUUCAACUCUAAGGUAGAUUUGUAAUAAUGGUGAGAAAUUAAAAAAUAAACAAAAAUCAAUUAAUAUUUGAUCUCACUUAUUUUAAAACCCACUCGAUAUAAGUUUGUUUUAUUUUCAGCUCAUGUUUUCUCAUUUUCUUUUAUUUUCUUUUUUUACAUGAGAAAUUUCUAUAUGUGCAGCAAAUCCAUGGGACAAGGUCAGCUUUUAUCAAAAUUCAUUGGAAAAAUUGCAAUUUUUAGCAAAAGAAAUAUAUAAAUUAACUCAGAAUAUCUCAUUAAAAUGUUAUUUUCACUUUAUAUGAAAUGAAUUGUUUAUUUAGCGAAUUUUUAUGUAAUACACUCCACUUUAUUGUCAUUUCUUACUUAAUACUAUUCAUUAUGGAGAUGAGUUUAGUGAUUUGCAAUUUCCACAGUGAAAAUAGAACACUAAAAGAAUCCUAUACUCAUUGCACGACUUCAAUAAGAAUUUGCUGAGGGAAUUCUCUCAAGAACACAACUUAAAUGGUCCACCGAUCCACAAAUCGACUGACUUAUGUUUUUGAUGGAGUUGAGUGUUAAUUGAAUUUGCAUGUGGAUGGGGUCGGCCAAUUAGGAUGUGUGUUCCAAAAGCAUCUAGAAAUAUUUAUUAAGAUUUUUCAUUCUAAAGAAAAGACGAUGAAAAUCUAAUUUUUGAAAGUCUGCAUCCUCCCCGGUUUUUUACCGUGUUUCUUAAUAGCCACUUUAAACAUCGUUCUGACAUUUAUUUUUUCAGUUGUGAGGCAUUUCAUCUCAUUUCAUUGACCUGCUUCCACUACACUAGAUAUAGAAGGGGAAAAUGAGGAGGAAAUGCUUCAUCUACUUAAUUUAUAACUAGCCCCGAUUUUUUUUUUUUGGGUAAAAACAUAAUGUUUUUUUUCUAUCUUAGAAGCUUAUAUCUAAGACAGAUGAUGGGUUAGACCAAUAAAAUAUCUUACUAAUGUCAUGGACAUAGGUAGCAUACGAGUCAAAGACAGGGCAGAUGGGUGCGAUGUAAAAUUGUUUACAUUUGGCGAAAUGGAAAAUCGAACUCGUCUGAUGUGCAUAAUCCACAUACACAAUUUCGUUAUAAUCCUGCAUGAUUUACGACAUUUUCUUAUGUGACAUUGUUUCCUCUUCUAUAUUGAUCCUUUCUCAUAUUUCAAUCUCGACAAAUACAGCCAAAACUUGUAUGUAUGACUUUCAUCAGUAUCUUUUGAGGAUUUUAAAGCAACUCCUAUCUAUUUGAUUGCAUUAUUUUAAUCACGUCAUUCCUUUUUCGAAAGCUUUCUCCUAAAAUUGGUUAUGAUUUUAUUUUUCAGGAAUCAGGCUUUGAUUUGACAACAUGUUUCGGACGCUUGUGAAGUUCUGAAGGCAACCUACACGAUAAUUGUUAGAAUGCAGGGACGGAACUAGCACAAUGUCUUAUCUGGGUCAAUGCACUGAAGAGUCCAAAGGUUUCUGAGAAUGAUUUCCAGUACCAGGACAUCAACUUAGGAUGCAGGUGUGACCUCAUCAUUUUUAAGCUAAAAAGAUGAUUUACCCUUGUGGCAGAAUUAAGAGAGUUGUUGUUCUUCACGUCAACAUUUCUUCAAAUCCUUAAAGGAUUCCUCGCUUGAAUUAGUUAUUUCAGGAUUGUCCCAUCUCUUUUCGAUUGGUCUUAGACAACUCAUUCAAAUUGCCCGUCUUGCAUGAAGAACUGCAAAAGUUUAGUACAGGCAGGUUAAGCAUAUGCAUAAUAAUGUUGUGUGAAAGGCCUCAUCCAAUAUAUGAAAUCUACUUGUUAGAACUAGCAAUCUCUCCAAGACGAGAUAUGACAUAACAUGAACAUCAUCAUACAAAGAACAAAAAUGGCAUGGCAUUGAUACAUCAUACUCUCUCAUUUCACGUGACCCAACAUGAAUAUGUCAGGCCACAGCACAUUGUGAGCCCUACUUCCAGGCUUGUAUCUUCUAGUAGCUUAAUUUAGUCAUACUUAACCAGGAACAAAGAUGUCACUAUUCUCUUUAGAGCAUAUUAUGGUGAAGUUAAUAUAAGCUUUCAUGGCAAAUAAUAAUGGAAGACUUAGAAUUGAGAUGCAAUUGCAAGUGAAAGUUUACAAUUUCAAUAGUUGAUAUGUCUAUCUAUUUUCUUGUACAUAAUAUACAUUGCCAAAAUAAUUAAUCACGGUAGACAGUAGUUGAUACGUAUUGUUGGUUGAAACGUUCACGCAAGAUUGGUUGUGAUUUUAUUUCUUCAGGAAUCACGUUUUGAUCAGAUUUGGACAUGUUUUGGAGGCUUGUGCAAUUUUGAAGACGACUCCGAUGAUGAUUUUUAGCAUGCAGGGACGGACUGGCAUAUCAGUCUAGUGGGGUCAAUGUACUGAAGAGUCAAAGUUUCUAAGAAUGGUUUCAAAAACUGGGACAUCAAGUUCGGAUGCCAGUGAGACCUCAUCAGUUUCAAGCUUGAUAGAUGAAUUUCCCUUGCGGCUGAUUCAAGGGAAAUGCUGUUCUUCGCAUCAACAUUUCUGAUCCUUGAAUCCUUGUAAGAUUUGUCGCUUGAACUAGUUACCUCCUGGAUCAUCGCAUAUAUUUUUGACUAGUUCUGACAACUCAUUCAAAUUGCCCGUCUUGCAUGAAGAGCUGCAAAAAUUUAGUACAAGCAGAUUAAGCAUAUGCAAUAUACUGUCGUCCAAAAGGUCUAAUCCAACAAAUGAAAAUUACUUGUUAGAUUUGGCAAUGUUUCUAAGACAGUGAUGAUACAACAUGAACAGCAUCAUACAUAGAACAUAUGUGACAUGACAUUGAUACAUCUUUUCUAUAACUAGGACUUAUUUCAAUCUUAAAAGCAAAUAUUAUUUGAAGGACUAUCUCCCUCCCAUUUUAUGUGACUUAGAAGGUUCAACUCAAAGUUGAAUGAAUCAUGCUAGAGCAGAUGGUGAACCCUACUUCCAGGCUUGUAGUCUUCAAUUAGAUAAUCCAGUCAUAUGUUACCAGUGACAAAGAUAUCAAUAUCCUCCUUAUAGCAUAUUAUGAUGAAUUUAAUAUGAGCUUUCUUGGCAAAUAAUAAUAGAAGACUUAGACUUGAGAUGCAACAGCAACAAAAUGAUGAGAGAACAUCAAAAGAUUUUUUUGCACAUAUCUACAUGGGUUGAUCAAAAUAGUAAUAUAAAGCAAUUAGGUGAGUCUCAAAUGUCUCAAUGGAAACUAUGAUAUACAGUCAAACAAAAAAUAUCUCUUUUUACCUAGAUGUCCAUUCAAUAGCAGAAGAGUGAUAACCAGUGCAACUUUUUAUGGGGAGGAGGUAAAAUCCUUCCCAUCAUCCCUUCUGAGGGGAGGGGCUGGCAGCGGGAAGAAGAUAACUUACACAUUUCUGACUUGCUGUUAGCUACUGUUAAGUACAUGGGGAGAAAGAAAUCAGUAGAAUUUGAGCAAAAUUUCAUUCAGAUCUAAAGUUACAAUUUGAUUGGGUACAGAUGCCUGACCCCAGGUUGAGAAAUGUUUUUCACACUGACAUGGCUUCCUGUCAAAGGAGAUUGACUUUUUGUGUGUGCUCCCUUACAAGUGAAUUUCCCUCAACUUGAGAAUCUCUGGCUUUGUCUCCCAACCUGUUGAACAUUGCGUAAACCAUGUGAUGUUAUAAAGCACUCCAUAUCCAAUCAAAGAAACUGGAAUAAAAUAGAAAAUUUUCAUCCUUUCUCAUUUAGAUGCACAGAAGCAAGUCUUCUACUAAUAAUUUGAGUAAGCUUUCUCUCAGUGAUAGUUCUCGAGAAGACUAACUCUUGAUUUCCUCUGAUCCAUUUUAAAUUUGAGUGGGUUUGUCCAAGCAUCCUACAAGAAAAGAAAGAGCACAAUGCAUGAGCUGCAGGCUCUCUGCUUGGGACAUCAACAUAGUAGUAAAAGUGAACUGAGAAGUGCAAAAAUGUAAUGCUGUCUAUCCACACAAUUUUCUACUCAAAUCUGGAAAUUAUCAUCAAAUGCAUCAACAUGAUAGCCAAAACCCAAUGAAUGAGUGCAUCAAACUGAUGGCCACAAGAACUUGCUGUGUUCCUGUCCUUGGAACAUUGAGCUACAGACGCAUAUUCUUCCUAAAUUCUGAUAAAAUCAACUAUCAAGUCCCUGUUUCUUAAAAAGAGACAUUAAUGACUCAUUGCUCUUAGUAAAUGGCAUAAACUUGCCAAUGUUAUCCUCUUAUAAGUUUUUUGUCCUCUCAUUCCACAAAUCACUUAAAGGUAAGGGAUAAAGUAGGGUCAACCUAACGACAGACAUUUCACCGUCAUGCAUUACUUUACUCAGAUGAAGAUUUGUGGCAGACUUGGCCUCUUCUAUAUCAGCCUUAGUAGUAUUCCAUGUAUCAAGAAAAGGUUUACUGCUUUAGUUUGCCUUGCCUUCUGUUCCUGGAACAUGUGACAUAGUUAAACCUUCUAAAUGUACAUUGCCACAAGAAUAUGUGGCUUCCCUUACCAUUUGUUCCCUGUUACUCUGCUCUUCAUAUAAAGCAGAAUUUAAACUUUUGAUGAUAGACAAAUCUUUUCUUGGAAGCUCUGGAAUGGAACUUAAAUUUGUAUCAGCCCUGGGCGGAACAUGAAACUUCUCUUGGUACUUUUUAUCUGAUGUACAACCUUGUUGAUCGGAUUCUUGAGCGCACGUGCUGUUUGUCCUAUCCAAAGAAGAUCGUUCUAGGAUUGAAUUUCUACAAGCUGCAGAUAAAGUUAGACAUAGAGUUGAAGUUACAGAAAUCUCUACCUAAACUUAUGAUGUUACUCACACAAUGUGUUGAUUCAUCAUUAUCAAUGACAGCUUUAUCUUCACAGUCUGGAAUUGCCUCAGGAAGGAGACUUUUCGAGCCCUGGUGCUCAUCCAUCUCUGUAAAUCUCCCUUUGCUUCCUAUGACCUUCUUCCCACCUUGUUCUCCCUCAGUCAUGGAUGAAUCAAGAUUAGAGCCGUCCAACGUGGAUAGCACAAUGACUGCUAAGGUCCUAAAUGCAAACACGAGUCAUGAAAUUUGUUUUGAGUGUAUCCGUUUUUUUUUUUUUUUGUAUGAUAUUGUUUCCUCUUAUAAAUAGAUCCUUUCUUGUACUUUAAUCUCAACAAAUGCAGUUAAAACCUACAUAUAGGACUUUUAUCAGUAUUUUUCAAGGAACUUAGAACACCUAUUUAUUUUCUUGUGCAUGGUAUUCAUUAACAAAUAGGUCAAACACUCUGGACACUAGUUGAUAUGUAUAACUAAUUGGUUUGACUGCAUAAUCUCAAUCAUUUCUUUCCUUUUCUGAAACUUUCAUGGAAGAUUGGUUGCGAUUUUGUUGUUCAGGAAUCACACUUUGAUAGGACUACAUGUUUUGGAUGCUUGUGAAGUUUGGAAGACAAGUCAUGCAACAAUGGUUAGCUUGCAGGGAUCGAGCUAGCAUAUUUCUAAGAAUGAUUUCAAAUUCCAAGACAUCAAGUUAGGAGGCAGGUGAGACCUCAUUUUGAGAGAGUUACUAUUCUUCAAAUGACAUUUAAAAGAUUCUCUGUCAGGAUUGAUGCAAAUCUUUUCUGUUGGUUUUGACAACUCAUUCAAAUUGCCUGUCUUGCUUGGAGAACUGCAAAAGUUUAGUACGAGCAGAUUAAUCAUAUGCAGAAUAAUGUUGUGUCAAUGGACUUAUCCAAUAUAUGAAUUCUACUUAUAAGUGUUGGCAAUGUCUCUAAGACGGGAUAUGACAUAACAGAAACAUCAUUAUACAUAAAACAAAUACAACAUGACAUUGAUACAUCUUUUCUGUAAUCAUUAGUUAUUUUGGUCUUAAAAGUUACUAUAUCUCAAAGAAUAUCGCUCUCCCAUUUCAUUCGACUCAAAAGGUACAACUCAAACAUGAAUAUGUCAGGCUAGCACAGACUGGGCAUCCUGCUUCCAGUCUUGUAGUCCACGGGUAGUUACUUCAGUCACACGUUACCAGAGACAGAGAUGUCACAUCAAAAGAUUCUUAGCAAGUAUAAACAUUUGUGUUGAUCAAACUACUAAUGUAUGGCAAUUAGCAAAUCAUCCAAUGUCUCAAUGCAAACUAUCAUACACAAUCGAACAAAAAGUAUCUCAUUUUACCCUUGUUGAAAGUCCAUCGGGUAGCAGAGUUGUCAUAACCUGGGCACCUUCAUAGGGGAAGAAGAUAAAAAAAAUUUCCUUUUUUUCCCUCUAGGGGGAGGGCAUGGUGGUGGGAAGUACAUAACUGGCACAUCGAUGACCCACUGUCAACUACUUUUAAGUGAAGUACAUGGAAAAAAAAGUGGUAGAAUUUGAACAAAAUCUCAUUUUGCUCUAAUAUUUAAAUUUGAUUGGGUACAGAUGCUUCACCUCGGUAGAGAAGUGGUGCUCACACUGAUAUGGCUUGUUGUCAAAGGAGAUUGGCUGUUCGCGUGCUUCCUCACGAGAGAAUUUAGACCAACAAGCUUUCUCCAAGUUGAUGGCUCUUGAGAAGACCGACUCUUAAUUUCCUCUGAUCUCUUCAAAAACUUAGAGUGGGCUUGUCAAGGCUGUCUACAGGUAAAGAAAGAGGACAAUAUACAAGCUGCAAGCUUUCUUCCAAUAGCAUUCGAUGUAUCAAUAAAAGGUUUAUUGCUUUCAUUUGCCUUCUGUUCCAGGAAUAUGUGGCACAGUUAAACCUUCCGAGCCCUUACCAUAUCUUCCCUGUUACUCUGCUCUUCACCCAAAGUGGAAUUCAAACUUUUGACAAUAAACAAAUCGUUUCUCGGAAUCUCUGGAAUGGUACUUAAAUUUGUAUCAACCCUGGGCUGCACAUUUACUUCUUCUGGUUCUCUUUGAUCUGAUGAAUAACCUUGUUGAUCAGACUCCUGAUUACACAUGCCAUUUGACCUAUCCAAAGAAGAUCGUUCUCGGAUUGGAUUUCUACAGGCUGUAGACUUUGGCACCCGAUCACUUUUUUUUCUUGGGUUGGGCAUAGAAGUUAAAGUUACAGAAGUUUUCUCCCUGAAUCUCCGGUGUACCCACACAGCGUGUAGACUGAACAUUGUCAAUGAUAGCAUUAUCCUCACAGUCUGUAAUUGCCUCGCCAAGGUGAGUUUUUGAGCCCUGGUGCUCAUUCAUCUCUAAAGAUCUCCCUUUGCUUCCUAUAACAUUCUUCCCACAUUGUUCUCACUCAGGCAUGGAUGAAUCAAAGAUUAAAGCCAUCCAACGUGGGUAAUUUAAACAUCAGAAACUAUACCAUUAUGUUGUAGCAAAUAAAUUUAUGACUGUAUUAUGAGUCCUCCCAUCCCACUCAGAUCAUCCACUUUCCAGCACAAUGAAGCUCAAUUAAGAUGAAUGACAUGUAACAUGUACAUUAGAACAGCCACUUAUCAUGGUAUCAUUUUUCUGAAGAGAGAUGCCAUGAAAUAGCAUUAUCUUUGAGCAAAAUAUGUGCCCUGAGUGGCGAAAAUCUCCAAUUCAUACCUCAGAAAUCAAGACAGAGAGCAGGUAAAUGCUGUAAGUCAUAGCGAUUUUCUCUACAUAAGCGCUUACAUUGCGGUGAAACUGCAAGGAGCCAUAGACUACCAGUAAUAGGCUCACAGCAAUUAUGAAGAUACAUAUUUAUAGACUUGUUUCACGGGAAACAACACUUCCCAGUUUCUGAAGUCAAAUGCACCAGAAUACUGAGAUAAACAUUAUAAUUCAGAAAGAAAUCCUUCCCUGUGCCUAAUUUGUAAUGUCAAAGAAGAUGCUCAAAUGAACUCCAUAAAGCCAGUCAACCUCGAUCACAAAGAGGUCUUUUGAAACCAAAUGAACCAAUGAAACAAACGGCAAAAGCCAUUCGGAAACUCGACCCGCUCAUGAAUUACCUCUGUUUUACGCUAUGAAACAAAUAGCAAACACUGACAUUUCACAAUUACGAGCAACGAAAAUUCGUUAGAUUGAGACAAGCAUAGGAUCUCCAGAGAGCAAGGUCGAGCGCGGGAGAGAGAGAUGGACUAGGUCUGAAUAGAGAAGAGAGAGGAGUAAUCUUGUUCUUAUAAGGUUUUUGAAAGGCGACCACCUUUAUAUAUAUAUAUAUAUAAUAGACCUAAGUAAGUCCUUAAAAGAUUUUAUCUCGGUAUCCGUUUGGAAUUCGGGAUCACUGAAAUAUGAAACAACAAGAGAGUAUUCCUUUCAUCUAAGAAAGACAAAGAUACCAAGGGGAUUAGAGGUGCGAAACAUACGAACCCUAAUGCGUUCAAAUAAUGAACCAAUCUGUGGAGCCCGCUGCUGUCCAACAAGCUGCAGAGGCUCUUCUAGGAGCUCAAGCUCCCUUCCUUUGAUGAAGUUACUCAUAAUCAAACACCAAUAAUUCAAUAAUAAAUAUUAGCUAUUAUAUAAAACCUCAGAAGUCCUAUUUCACCCCUUCAAUGGAACCAUUUUUCGCCAAAUUGCCUCGAAAUUGUUUAAUUUGUUUCAAUACUCCCACCCCCCCCCCCCCCCCCCCGGGCGCAAGACACAUGGGUAAGAUGGUAAUUUCAUAAAAAUAAUAAUAACUCACCAACAAACCCACCUCGAAAAAUCAUCCCGUCUUUUUCUUUUACCAACAAUUCUUGAAUGCUUUCAAAAAAAAAAUUUAAAUCAAAUUUAUUGGAAAAAAUAAAAAAAGAAUAUCUCAUGACAUGGAAGUAUAGAAUCGUGGCUCCGUUCCCUCCUCCCCAUAACAUUCAUUUGACUUUUAGGAUUUAUGGCAUGAAAUGCUCCACGUGUCACAUCCACCAAACUUAACACCCUUGAAAAUCCCAACCACACCUUUAUCUUACGCACCGUUCGUUUCACGGAAAAUAACUUCUCGGAAAAUGUUUUCCGGAUUUUCCGAUGUUCGUUUCACGGAAAACCAACUACUCAAAGAAAAUAUUUUCCAUCAAUGGAAAAAACUACCUUCAAAGAUAAGGAAAAUGUUUUCCACUUUUGAAAAGUGGAAAACAUUUUCUAUAACUUCUUCCACCUUUUAUCUUUUUAUUAACACAUUUUUAUUUUAUUUUUAUGCUUUUCUUUUCUUUUCUUUUCUUUCUUUCCUUUUCAUCUUUCUUCCUUAGCUUGGCCGGUGGCCAGCCCCGACGGCGGCCGGCGACCAGCCGCGACCAGCGACCGGUCGCGGCCACGAGCCAGCUCAAGCUCCGCCCCAGGCCGGCGAGGCUCCGCCUAGCCUAAUCUGGUGAGGCCCGAGCUCGCCCGAGCCCGGCGAGCUCGGGCUCGCCUGGAUCAGGAGCCCAAGCUCCGCCACCAGAUCCGGCGAGCUCGCGGCUCACCAGAGCUCAACGAACCUCUGGCGAGCUCGGGCGAGAUCAGCCGAGCCUCGAGCUCGCCGGAUCUGGCAACCGGAUCUUGGUCGGCUGCCGGGCAGUCAGCCAUUGUCAGGCAUGCGGCGGCGGAGGAAGGAGGAAGGAGGAGGAAGAAGGAGGAGGAAGGAGGAGGAAAAGAAAUGGAAAAAAUAAAAAGAAAAAGAAAGAAAAAAUAAUAAAUAAUAAAAAUUUUGAUUUUUUAAAAUAUAAAUAAUUAAAAUUUUAUUUUUAAAAAUUAUAAAAAAAUAAAACUAAUGAACGGUGGAAAAUAAUAAAAAUUGUAUUUUUUAAAAAUACAAAUAUUUUUUGGUCAAUUAAAAAUAUUAAAAUUCAAAUUUUUGAUAAUUUUUCAUAAACAAUUAAAUUAGUUAACGAACGGUGGAAAAUGUUUUCCACUCAAAAUUUAAGUUUCAGUCGAACACCGGAAAAUAUAGCCAUUUUCCUGGAAAAUGACUUCUGGGAAAAUAUUUUCCGGAGAUGGCCCAUUUUCCGCGAAACGAAUGGACAGAAAAACAAAAAGUUCCAUGGCAUCGACAAUGAUGCGGACCACCUAUAAAUUAUAAAUCCCCAACAAAUAAAGUCAUAACUCUCCCAAAAAUGAAACCCUAACCUUUCCGAAUUUCAUGUGCCAGAAGCCAACCGAUCGACAAAAUGCAAGUCCAAAUCCUUGAAACCAAACUUAUCCAACCCUCUACACCACCCUUUCUCGAUCAAGAACAGGUCCUCCCUCUCUCGCACCUCGACACCGAUCCUAAUCUCAACAUCACGUUCCGUUACCUCCGUGUGUAUGUAAAUGCCGACCAAACGAAGCGCGCCCACGAUACACCGUACCAUGUCAUUGCUAGAGCGUUCUCUGGUGCACUUUGUUACUACUACCCUCUAUGCGGCACGCUUCGUCCUGGCGAUCAUCACCGCCUCAAGCUACAUUGUGUUGCCGGCCAAGGCGUGCCGCUUGUUCACGCCACCGCCAAUUGCACUCUCCAUGCGGUUAAAAACCUUGAUGACGCGGACUCGGGUUUCUUGGAGUAGCUGAUACCCAACCCGGAUCCGGAGGAGAGUUUGGCCAACCCGUGUGUGCUCCAAGUCACAAUGUUCGAAUGCGGGGGGUUCAGCUUAGGUACCGCCAUACACCACGCCAUGUGCGACGGGCUCGGGGCGACCCUAUUCUUUGGGGCAGCGGCGGAGCUAGCUCGUGGGGCGGAGCGAGUUUCCAUCGAGCCGGUGUGGGACCGAGACAUCUUGUUGGGGCCAAGGAGUCCGGCUCGGGUCGAGGCGCUAGUUGGGGAUUACCUAUGCGAGAAGGGUCGGAACCCGUACGAUGAUGAAGAGAAUUGCAAGUUUGGUCGGGAGUUCUUCCACGUGAAAGAGGAGUGGUUGGACCGAUUUAAGGCAUUGAUGCUGGAAAAGUGCGGCCAGAAGUUCACCACGUUCGAAGCUUUAGGUGCAUUCAUUUGGCGCGCAAAGUAAGUCAUUUAAGUACACCAACCAUUUCGAGAUUAUCUUAGGAUUAUCCUUCUGAUUACACUGUUAAUUUAGAGAUUUGCACAUAUGUAAAUAUCCGGCCGCAACGUCUUGACUUCAAUUGAUUCACAAAUUCCUGAAAUAGGGUCAAAGUAUCGGACAUUCCAGGCGAUGAGACGGUGAAAUUCUCAUACUCAUCGAACAUCCGCAAGGUGCUGAAACCGCCAUUGCCGGUCGGCUACCGGGGCAACGGAUGUGUCCCGAUAUACGUCCAACUAAAGGCGAAAGACUUGCUGGAAAAGCCAAUUUGGGAAGUCGCGGAGCUGAUCAGGAAGAGCAAGCGCAACGCAAGCGAUGAGUACGUGCGAUCGUACAUCGACUUUCAAGAAGCACAUCGAAGAGAAGGCGUCUCGGCAGGUCAGAAGGAGAAGGCUUUUGUUUUUUUGUUUUUUAAUUUUUUGAAAGAUUUACGUUGCAUAGCAGGCAUUGACAUUGUCCACGAAAUAGUAUAUAUUUAUCUAUUAUUGCCUUAUGAUUAUGGGGAGACAAGACAAUCAAUUUUCAAUGAAUUGAGUGCAUGUUAAGGAAAUAUACUCUUUUAUUUCAAUUUCUCAGGAAAAAAAUUUAUCGGCUUGUAAUAUCACAUGCUUAGGACAUUUUGUAUAAGGAUGCAAAAGAUACUUUAUGGUCAAAAAGAGCCAAGUGUCUGUAUAUUAUGAUUUACAUGUCUAUUAUCACACUUACAAUUUUUAAUAUCUUGAGGUCUUCACUAGGAGUACAAUAUUGUAAUUUCUCAAAUUUAGACCACAUGCAAUGAGUUGGGAGUCUACAACAUCUAGUAGAAUUAAUCAGAUGUUCGAAGAAUCUCGGAUAUCCAAUUUGAAAUACAAGAUUGAUAGUUGACUAGCGUAUUGCGGCCAUUUAUCGAAUUUAAUCUAACACAAAUUCUCCUUUGGCAUAUUUCAACGCAUUUUCACAGUAGAACUAGCUACAACAUCAUCUGUAAAAUGAGCUCACUCGAUGAUUUUUGUUUUCAGGAAAAAAUGUGAGCGGAUUCACGGAUUGGAGGCAUUUGGGCCACUCGGCGGUGGAUUUUGGGUGGGGAGGCCCGGCCAACGUGCUGCCCCUCUCGAGGAAGCUCUUGGGGAGCAACGAGGCUUGCUUCUUCUUGCCUUGUUCCGAGGUCGGAGUCGGAGAUCCGAGCGAUGGCUUUAGGGUUUUGGUGAAUCUGAAGGACAGGUGGUUGUGUGGUUUUAGGGAGGAGAUGGAGAAGCUUGGGAAGAUGGAGUUUGGCUUUACUUAAUGUCAAGGCAAGAUGCUUGAGUGGCUUUUCAUUGUAAGCUGUGGAAGUUGGUUUUGUAAUUUGGAGCAAGUUCCUAUGGGGGACUUUUCAUUUCCCCCCUCCAAGUUUGAUCUAAUUCUCUUUCUUCUUUUUUUUCGAGAAUUCAUUGUGAUCACUACGCUACUUAUGUGAUAUGAUGGGCGAUCAUAUUUUGAACAUAAGUGAGAAUAUUACAUGUUAAAAUCAACAUUCGUACGUGAAAUUCAAAAUAAAAAUCGAUGGAAGAAUUCUAUAGUCAUGAAUGAAGAGGUUUGCCACUAACGUUUUUCUUAAUCAUAUCACGACCAUAGCAAGUGAAAGCCUAGAAUUCCGAAUGAGUGUAUUUAUCAACGCAUUUCCGGAUCUAUCACUUAUCAAAAACUUGAUUUGGCAAUUUAGCUAGCUAAAUUAAUGAAGUGGGAGUAAAACCUAGCUAAGUAUGUAGGCCGAUUAAGAUGAGAAAAACUAGCGAAGUUGCUAGUCCCAUGAUAAACUCUAACGAUUGGCCUUACCACAUCAUCAGGAGCCUUUGACAUGUCAGUCAUUAUCUCAAUCAACCACCUUACCCCAUUCUUCUUUUGAUGAAAUGCAACUGUUUCUUUGACUAUAUUACACAGACUAAAUUAAUUGUCCCAAAUUAAUCACACAAUUCAAGAAUUUAACAGACCCAUAAUGAAUCUCACAAAAAAAAAACUUAUAUUAUGAUUAGCUUUAUCUAACACGCUAUAACCCCCAAAUAAACUUUGUACAAAAUUUGAUAGUAAGAAAGAGUGUCUAAACAAAAUUUGAUUGAUGAAGGAUAAUUUCCUAGGUCUAGACAGAUAACGCCUUGACCUAAAUUAGCUAAAUAAGGAAAUCAAGAUAAGAAAAGGAAAUCACAGGGAAUACACGCCAAUGCAAAUAACAAAAGUUAAUCCCUCCCACAACGCUCGCAAAAUGUGUUUAAAAAUAUUAUAUAAAAUCAGUCGAUUUGCUACACCAAUUGCUCAAGUUGUUAGGAAUACGAGUCAAUAACAGAUGUCAAGCAUAUUCCUGUUAAUUUCCAUAUGUAACGUAUUUGAUAUGCAUUAGUUGGCUCUCCAUUCUAACAUCUUUAGCUUUUCUAACAUUUCAUCAUCACAUAAGUAUCUAAGCAAAUCUUAAAAAGCUUUAUCUUGUUUCUCAUCUAGAUUUUAGGAUCGUCAAGAUGUAAAAUAACUAGAGUUUAUUCCUUCCUAUUGGGGAAAUGAAAAAUAUAAGGAGAAUCGGGCGAAGAAAACGAAUGGAAGUUAACAUCAUACCGUUUUUUUUUUUAAACAGACAUAUAUGUAACGACCACAACGAGCUGGACCGGAAGGAUGAAAAAAGUCCAGUAGUGAGAAUCCUGAAGGCUUUGCUGAAAUCUAUCACCUUAUCCUCAAAGUGACUAACCAAUAGGAGUUUUCCUCUAAAAAUAAAAUAAAUCGACCGAAAGUCUAUGUGAAGCCUGUGAGAGGAGCUAGCUCUGCGACACGAAGAAGCCAUGGCGUCUCUCCUGGGAACUUCUUCCACAGCAAUCUUGGCCUCACGGCGCCUCUCCUCACUUUCAGGUGCACUUUCCUGCACAUGUUUCAAGCGUUUGGGGGAUAGUCCGAAUGACCCAUCUCAGUUCUGGUCCUCGACUUUCUCGAAUUCGACUCUUUCAAGCGCGGGGUUUAUGAGGUUUUUAAUGGGUCUGUGGAAUUUGCCUUUGUUGUUGAAUUUUCUUGUUUGCAGUGCAGAAUCAUGGCAAGAAAUGCUAUGGAGGGAUUGAAUUUCAGACCAGGAAAGGAAGGUGUCCGUGGCAUCUUGCCGUCACCAAUGUUGCGACUGACAUCAAUUCUGUCGAGCAGGUAUCGAUUCUUUCCUUUGCCUUUUCUUUUAUUAGCUCUAUGCAUUUCUGGGAAGUUGCAGCAAGAGACUGAUGUAGAUUGAUGCUGCUUCAAAUUUUUUUAAUUGCUGAGUUUUUUUAGUGAAAGUAGACUGAAAAUUGGGCUGCUUCCAUUGCAUUUAAUGAUAAAGUGAGGAUUUCUUAGGCUGAGGCAUUACGCUAAUUGAAGUCGAAUGGGAAAAAGAAAAUGCUUUGCAGUUGAUGGUUGUUUGUGGGUGGUCUUGUUGAGUGAAGUGAGAAUUGUUUGGGGGAGAAUUAGCAUGGAUUGCUUGUGUAGGAUUUUGUGAGCUGGAUUGGAUGGAUUUUUUUCAUUUUUCAGGCUCAGAGGCUUGCGUCUAAGGAGAGUCAGAGGCCGGUCUAUCCUUUUGCCGCUAUAGUUGGGCAAGAUGAGAUGAAGCUAUGCCUCUUACUAAAUGUCAUUGAUCCGAAGAUUGGUGGUGUCAUGAUUAUGGGAGAUAGGGGCACCGGGAAAUCCACUACCGUCCGGUCAUUGGUCGAUUUACUCCCUGAGAUUUCGGUGAAACCGCAAGGUUCUAUGGACUUCCAGCAACCGGGUUACGGCAAUUCUGAACGCAAAUUUAUCCACAAGCUUAUGCCACCCAGUUUCUGAAGCCAAAUGCGCUGGAAUACUCACGGAGGCAUAUCGGAGAGAUAAACGGAGCAAUUAAGAAGAAAUCCUUCGCUGUGCCUAACCUACAAAAUCAUGGACGAUGCAUACUGCCAAUCUACAUAGAGCACAAAGAGGUCUUCUGAAAUCAAACGGACCUACUGCGACAGGAGGGUGGGAGACGCAAAAUGCACGCGAAACAGCGAGAGACAAGGCACAACAAAGGCGAGAGUCUGAAGGAACUCCUCAUCGGAAAAGUUCACAUCUCAUCAGGUUUCUCCAUCGGAAAAACUAAGUGCGCUUGUGCAAAGCCCCUCCGCUUGACAGUACCUUCCUUGCGAUCGCGACAGGAAGUGAGCUCGAGCGUGGGAGAGGGAGGUGUUGGAAGAUAUGCUCGAAUCUGAUCUUGGGAGAUAUGCUCAUAAUCUCAGUUGAUCUUAAUUGUACAUAAAUUAGUUAGGAUCUUUAGAUUGAGAUUGGAUUCGAUUUCAUAAAUAUUUGUUUGCCUUUUAUUAUUUCAUCUCUGUACUAUAAUUACAGAAGAAAUGUACAUCAGGAUACAUACGAAAUAUACAAGAAUUACAGAUCUCUAGUCUUCUUCACUUUCUUACAUGGUAUCAGAGCUUUGGCUUCUGAUUGUUCUUCGCUUCCGCUCCUGAUUGCCCACCAAAGGAGAUCUGAAUCACACAACAGAUCUACCAUCUUGGUAUAGGAAUCACUCUCAAAGAAGACAAGAGCUACUGGUUUCUUACCUCCAAUGGCUAACAACCAAUCCAACCCAGAAGCCUCACCACCGGCGUAGAUCCAAAAUUUACCUGCAACAACACAACAACAAACAAUCCAGGCACACCCUGUUCAAUGGAGACCUACACAGGCUCAGUUUGGUCUAGGGCAACCCUUUGCGGGUCAACCGUUCCAGUGGGUACCUUACCCAUUUUAUCUCGGGACAAACCCGAAUACAUCAUCGCCCGUUUAUGUAGGACACCAGGGAGCCCACGUCCAAUCCGAGGCAAGCUCACCAGCCAUAAACGGGGCAAGCUCGACCCUAGGACUAGAGCCGGUAAGCGGAUUUGGAGAACCAGGUAUGGGAACGAAUCCCUACCUGGGGUUUUCAAAUGCGGAUUACCAAUUGGGCCAAGGGACAAAGACCUACCCGAACCUUGUGCUCGGAUUCAUGCCAUUCCCCGUCGCUGCGGUCACCGGGCGUCCGGAGCCUGGUGAUCCCCUACAUGUCUCAACAACCGAUGGCCCUGAGCUGAAACUGAUCAACCUUCAGUUAACCGGACCAGAGAAUUACACCAGGUGGUCCCGAGACUUCCGGCAUGCCCUUGUGACGAAGGACAAGGAUGGAUUCCUCGACGGGGCGGUUCCGAUUCCUGCCGAUGAGCGACUAGCCCAAUUCUGGAGGAAAUGCAAUCAACUCGUGAGGACGUGGAUUAGCAACUGCAUCUCCCCAGAGGUCGCGGCUGGUCUCCCACCAACAGAAGACUCGAAAGCCAUAUGGGAAAACAUCAAACAAAUGUAUGGCAAAUUAGAUCGGGCACGAAUUCUUUCCCUUUUGCAGGAACUCAGUGAGUUAAAACAGGGGAACAUGACCAUCACGGCCUGUUACAACAAACUGUCAUCCCUGUGGAACGAUCUCAAAGCAGUAGAAGAGAAGCUCGAGGGACCAGAGGAGACACUCGCACAAUACCAGUCGAUCAAAGAAAGGGAAAAGGCGACCCGAUUCCUUUUAAUCUUGAACGAUUCUUACCUGACGUUUCGCUCGCAGAUUUUGGCCAUGGAACCGAUGCCCCCUCUUGGCCGGAUCUUUCAAUUAGCAGUCCAAGAAGAAAGCCAGAGGCUUGCUUCAUCAGAAUCGGCGAAAGGAGGAGAGAGUUUUGCCCUGGCCAGUCAUGGUGAGCGAAGAAAUUGGGGAUCGAAAACCCUAGUGCUCGAAAUAGGGGUGCUAGGAGGAGAGCUAGGGUUUCAGUCGCCCGGAUCUGAGGAUUCCCACCUCCUUAAAAGAGGAGGACUGGACGGCUCGAAUUCAGCUUGCAGAUCGGAUGGUCUAAAGGGACCCAUCUAUUCGACCGGAUCUAAUGGUGGAGAUGGAGCGACUAGGAAGACAUCCGACGGUGGUGGUUUUUUUUCUGCAUCUAACGGCAGAGGAAUUUUUUCGGCAUCUACAAAAAGUUUUAAUCAAAAAAUGGGUAAAUUAUAUUGUGAAUUUUGUAGAAGGCCACAUCAUACAGUGGAAAAUUGCUGGAAAUUACACGGUAAACCCGGAGAAAAAGGAAAAAAAGAAGGAAAUUUCUACGGCCUACCGGGUUGGUGGUUCUAAUGUUGAUCAGUCCAUAACAAAUGAUCAAUACCAACAACUGAUGCAGGCAAUACAGAAAUUGGACAUCUCAAGCAAGGGAGGAAAUUUUUCAGGUGUUUCUCGCUGCCUGAUUAAUAAUAUUUCCAAGAAAUCCUAGAUAAUUGAUUAUGGGGCAAGUGAUCACAUUGUCUGUGAAAGAGCAUUAUUUUCAGAUAUACAUGAGAACUUGGAAUUUCCUAUUACUAUCCAAUUACCAAAUGGCAAUGUUACUCAUGUCAAAAUCACUAGAUCAGUCAAACUCAGCCCAGAAAUCAUACUCCAAAAUGUCCUUUACCUUCCAAAAUUUCGAUUCAAUCUUAUUUCUGUGUCCAAAGUCUGUAGAGAAAAUUCUUGUCAUGUAUUGUUUGAUUCUAACACUUGCUUCUUUCAGGCCCUUUCGACUGGCAUAGUGAUGGGCUUGGGUAGUCUUUCUGAAGGAUUGUUUCUAUGGAAAAAUUCUCCAAGUAAUUUUGAUUUAUCCUCAUUUCCUUCAAAUAAAAUAUUAUUGUGUAACACGACUACCAAUGAUAAAUACUAUCUUUUACAUUCACGAUUGGGUCAUAGUGUUUCAUUUCCUUAUUCUAAGUGUCAAAUAUGUCCCCUUGCAAAGCAAUCACUCAUUCCUUUUGCCCUUAGUAAAAAUCGUGCAACGCACAUUUUCUCUUUAAUUCACAUGGAUGUUUGGGGUCCUUACCAUACCCAACAUUAUGAUGGAUCGCGCUAUUUCUUGACAAUUGUGGACGAUUAUUCUCGUGCCACUUGAGUUUUUCUGAUGCAAUCAAAGGGACAAGUCUUCUCACAUUUGAAAACAUUUAUUGCUCUAUCCAAGAACCAAUUUGGAAGAUCUAUCCAACGAGUUAGGACAGACAAUGGGAAGGAGUUCUUCAACAAUGACUGCAAUUUUCUUCUGCCAUCUCAUGGGAUUCUCCAUGAAAGUUCUUGCAUCUAUACUCCACAACAGAAUGGAGUAGUGGAGCGUAAGCAUCGUCACCUAUUGGAAGUUGCACGUGCAUUAAAAUUUCAGGCGUCUAUUCCAGAAAAUUAUUGGGGCGAAUGUAUAAUUACUACAUCAUAUAUGCCAACUCAGAUACUCAAUGGAAAAACCCCAUUUGAGUUACUCUUCAAGAAGAAACCGGAAUUGGGGCAUUUAAGGAUAUUCGGAUGUCAGUGCUUCACUACUGUUUUGGGCCCUCGAGACAAAAUGGGCCCUCGAACUCGAUGGUGCAUCUUCAUGGGUUAUCCGAAUUUACAAAAGGGGUAUCGAGUCCUAGAUCAAUCAACAUUGGAAUUCUUCAUCAGCAGAGAUGUUAUUUUUCGCGAAGAUAUUUUUCCUUUCAAAGAAAAGGACUCUUCAACGGAGAUGCCAAACAAUUCUGGUAAGCCACUAUCUAUGGAGGAUUUUUCAAAUACCGAAUAUUUUGUGACAGGAACUCCAGAACCACUUAUGAUAACCCCAGUCACUCUUGAGAUUUCCGCACCAACAAUUGUCGAAAAUGGUGCUCAAGAAAAUUCCUCAAUGGCGGAAGAAUCCUCUAAUGAAAUUGGCAAUACAGAAUUAUCUUCAACUCUAGCUCAAGCGAAUCCUCCUCGACGAUCUGGUCGUUCUACAUGACCGCCAGCUUGGAUAGAAGACUAUGUUUGUGCAUCACCCAACUCACCAGUUAUUAACUACCCAAUAUCAUCUUAUGUUUCGUUCCAUAGACUUUCACCAGAACAUAGAUGUUGUGUGAGUCAAAUAUCAAAGGACAUCGAACCAUCUACUUAUGAAGAAGCAGCUAAAGACCCAAGAUGGCAGGAACCUAUGGGAGCUGAAUUGCAGGCACUAACUGCAAACAAGACCUGGGAUUUAGUCCAUCUACCACCAAAUAGGAAACCCAUUGGAUGCAUAUGGGUAUACAGGAUUAAAUACCGUGCUGAUGGGUUUAUUGAGCGUUACAAAGCUCGAUUGGUGGCCAAAGGAUUUAUUCAACGGGAAGGCUUUUUGACUACCAUGAAACCUUUUCCCCCGUUGCCAAAGACGUAACAGUAAGAUCCUUCUUAUCUAUUGCAGCUAUCAAUGAUUAGCCUUUACACCAAAUGGAUGUACAUAACGCUUUUCUGCAUGGAGACUUAGAUGAGGAAAUCUACAUGGAUAUUCCUCAAAGAUUACGGAGACAGGGGGAGAAUAGAGUAUGUCGUCUCCGUAAAUCUCUCUAUGGUCUCAAGCAAGCUUCCAGGCAAUGGUAUGCAAAAUUUGCCGAUGCUCUCACUUCUGCAGGUUUCAAACAGUCUGGAUAUGAUUACGCCUUGUUCACAUGGACUCAAGGUACGUCAUCUAUUUAUCUGAAGGUAUAUGUUGACAAUAUCCUCAUCAUGGGAAAUAAUAAAACUGCAAUAGAGAGAUUCAAGAAGUAUCUGCAUUUUACUUUUCAAAUUAAAGACUUGGGAGCACCCAAAUACUUUCUUGGAAUCGAGAUUGCUCGAUCUGAUCGUGAGAUUUCUCUUAGUCAACGGAAGUUUAUGCUGGAAAUUAUAUCAGAGGCAGGACUAUCGGGAUGCAAACCAUCGGUUAUUCCAAUUGAGCAGAAUAUAAAGUUGACCACCAAGGAUUAUGAUGCUGGGACAUCUGAGAAUCAUGAUCAUGUUCUCAAUGAUCCUUCAGGUUAUAAGCUUGUUGGGAAGCUCAUAUAUUUAACUAUGACCAAAUCUGAUAUAUCAUACACAGUGCAGACUCUCAGCCAAUUCAUUCACAGUCCCAAGUUAUGUCACUUGAAUGCUGCAUUAAAGGUCGUGAAGUACUUGAAGAAGUGCCCGGGACUAGGGAUUCUUUUAUCCAUGGAAUGCAAUAUGAAAAUGUCGGCAUACUAUGAUGCAGAUUAUGCGACUUGUCCUAUGAGUCGACGAUCCAUUACAGGUUUUUGCAUUAAACUUGGAGAUUCUCUUCUUUCAUGAAAAACCAAGAAGCAGGCAACUGUAUCAUUGUCUUCAGCCGAAGCAGAAUAUCGGGCUAUGGCAAAAACUACCUGUGAGAUCAUAGGGAUAUGGGGACUACUUGGGGAUCUUGGGAUAAAUUUGAAGAGUCCGACUAGGUUGUUCUAUGACAACAAUGUGGCGCUCAAACUUGCAGCAAAUCCCAUAGUACAUGAAAGAACGAAGCAUAUAGAAGUGGAUUGUCACUUCACUCGAGAAAAGAUUCAAGAAGGGAUAAUUGAGACUCGAGGAAUUGGAAUGGCGGAGCAACUAGCCGAUAUCUUCACUAAGCCCCUAUGUCAAAGACAGCAUGCAUAUCUAUUGAGCAAGCUAGGCAUCUUGGAUAUCUAUCAGCCACCAGCUUGAGGGGGAGUGUUGGAAGAUAUGCUUGAAUAUGAUCUUGGGAGAUAUGCUCGGAAUCUCAAUUGAUCUUAAUUGUACAUAAAUUAGUUAGGAUCUUUAGAUUGAGAUUGGAUUUGAUUUCAUAAAUAUUUGUUUGCCUUUUAUUAUUUAAUCUCUGUACUAUAAUUACAGAAGAAAUGUACAUCAGAAUACAUACAAAAUAUACAAGAAUUCCAGAUCUCUAUAGUCUUCUUCACUUUCUUACAGGAGGGACAGAGAUCGGCUGGAUUAGAAUGGAGAUGAGAGAGAAGCACUCUGGUUUUUUUUGCAGGUUUUUGAAUGGCGACUCUUUAUAGAGAGAGAGAGAGAGAGAGAGAGAGUAGCUCUGAAAGAGGCAGGACCAGAAAGUGGCGGAAAACCGACGGAGGUUCGUCUGAGCGACUCGUCAUGCGCUCGCCGGGAGUUCUCCCGAGGGGACAAUAAAAUCCCGAUUCUGCCCCUCUAGGGGAACCAAUUCACGUAUUGCUCCGGUAUUGCCUUUAUUUUGUCUACUUUGGACCCAAAUCAUCGGAUCUAAAUAGAUUUUAAUCGUCGAUCGCAUGGAUUCAGACACUUGGGAACCAUGAUACCAACGGCAUUGAUGGAUUUAGCGCAUGUAGAGUUGAGUUUAGACAAGCAUUUACCCUCACAUUAAUAAAAUGUGUACAGGACUCAAGGAGCUAUUCGUCGGUUUGCUACCAAAGCCCAUCUCAUGUGCUUUACACCAAGAAGAGGGCACUUUUGCUCAAGAAAAAUUUCAAGCUGGCAUUAGUAAGAACUAAAGAAAUUGACAGGAGAAUUAAUAUCUUAUUGUCAUAUAAAGGAGUACUUUAAAGUUGUGUCGUAUUGAACUUUGUCCCACCUAUUACACUAUUGAAAUGUUAUGUUUAAUAUACCAAUAAAGUAUCAAUCGCUAGUUGAGCAAGUUUAUCACCACAACCCCAUUAAAUAUGAGUAGGGAAUUCUAAGAUUAAUGAUAGACCAAAGCCCAAGUUCGUCUUUCACAGAUUAACCAAAAAAAGAAAAGCAAACUAUUUAUGUUACUUUAGGGGUCUACCGUACACUUUGCUUCACAGAAUUGAAUGGAUUGUCUGAGCCCCUUGACCAUUUUGUUGGAUGUUCUAAGUUUUGCUUUACUAUUUACACUCCCUAUGUAUAUAAGUUUACAAAAAAAAAAAAAAAAAAAUUCUCCGUUACUCUAUCGGAUUAAUAAAGAUAGGAAAACAUUUAUGAUUAUUCUAGCAAAAAAAUGACCUUUGAUAGAAAUAACCUUUUUAUUUUAAGUGAAAUGCGUACUAUAUAUUAGUAAUUAGCAUUUGGCGUGUUUAAAAAAGAUGAAACUUCAAAAAUUAAAUUUGAGAUACACCGCUAACUAAUUUUGUUUCAAAAAGGCUUUUAAGUAAUUUUUCCUCAAUCCAAAAUAGUAAAACUUUUCGUUAUCUAACUUUACUAAUUUAUUAGGCAAUCAUCUUUCCUACGUGUAAUGAAAGUACACAUUAAUUAAAGUUUUAAAUCAAGUAUGUUGAACAUUUCGCCCCUCGAAUUAGAUUCUGGCCAUUUAGUUCUCGGAAAAAUGAACUCUGUCGUUUAGACAAUCACGCCUUUGCAAAGCUGGUGUUUCCAAUGCGUAAAGAGAGUUACAAGCAACUGAGUUGAUGGCGAUGGAAAGAGGUUACAAACCGAGUUUUGACAAGAGCUUGGCCGACGCGUGUGGUAUUACACGGUGAGCCUGAGUCCCUCUUCGACAGUCCGGCCAUUUUUUGUUCGUUUUGAGAUGGCCGACGUACCUCAACUUCGGCAUCCUGGUCACGAUGGCCCUCAACUUCGGCAUCCCGGUCAUCCUUAUAUUCUCGGCCUUAUAGAGCUGAGUGGAACAUUUCGACCGUGUCCUACGCUGUCAGGCACGCCGACCUCCGAUCCACAGUUCCACGUUCGUGUAUUGCUGCGGAGGAUGCGAAGUUUUGCACCACAAGUUAUACGCUAAGGAUCUACUAUGGCCCCAGAUACAACACCCUUGGCAGGUUGGCCUUCCGCUGCGAUUCGUGCAAUGUCCAGUUAUAUUUCUGCCUCGCGAUUAAGCCGGACAAGGGACAUUCCAACUCAAGGCAAGAAGUUUCGAGUCAUGAAUGCACAUUGACCUAACGCUAUGGCGAGUUUAGCUGCAGCCUGUGCAGGGAUAUGAUAUCGGAAGCAGAUUGUUAUGUCUCUUUUGGACCGUGCUGUCUUUUAGCAGAAGAGACCAAGCUGCUCGGAUUCUCCUCAGUUGAUCGUCAUUGCCGCCAUAUCUGCGAGCUGCUCGGACUCUGUCAAGUGCUUCCAUUACUAUUGCCGGACAUGGCACCUACUAUCUAGAGCAAGAUUUUCUACUCAAAACUCUCGCAUAUCAUCAGCUAGGAGUGAAUGUGACAAUAAUGAGGAUGAUGCAUGUGGUACACCCAACAAAGAAUUGAGUUGAUACAUUGUGAUAAGAUUCAAAGGUUGCCGACACUCCCAACAAGUUUAACCUAUCUAUUAGUGUCAUCUUCAUCGUUGUGGGUAGUCCUAGAUCUCUCGAACUUGACUAAUUUGGUUGAGCUGAAACUACAGCAACACGGACAAGUAGGAGAUAAACUUUGUAUCGGUCAAUUAUGGUGGAUUGAGAGGUUAUCCAAACUGACUGUUUUAAGGGUCAAACUUCACAAAGUCCCUAUUCCUAUUGAGUUGGGUUCCCUUCCUCUGCUAACGUUACUUGACUUGUCUAAAUUGGACAUGCAAACCUUUCAGCCACUUCCCUUGUCUCUGCAGAGGCUAAGCCUUGAGAAUUUCAAUUCAAUUGGGUCACUCUCUCGGGACUUGAGAAAUUUGUCAUUUUUAAAGCUCCAUGGGUCUCCAAUGCAAGAAGUUCAACUCGAUGGGCUUCAACUUCCACAACUAAAGGUGUUGCAUGUGGAGUACUGGACACCCUUAAGAGGUUGAGGCUAUCAAGAAUGAGGAAGCUGAAAGAUAUUAAGGCGGUAAAUUGUCAAGCUGGUUGAGAUCCAAUUGUCUUGGGUGUUCGAAUCACUGGAGGCACUGUCUAUUGAACGUUGCAAGUCCUUGGAAAGGCUAGUUUAUGAGACUCUCGAUGAGUUGAUUACUUGUGAAGGGAGACUAAUUUUUCCAUCAAGAGUCUUAAGUAAGUUGCAUGCUCUCACACUGUAUCAUUGCCCUAAGAUACUCCACAUUCAAGAUGUGGAUACGUCGGAAUUGUGGGAGUACUUUCGCCUUUGGAGUUGGCCUCAUCUGCAAAAUCUCGUUGGUUUGUCAAACUUUUAAGAACCUGAAGACUUUAAAUAUCCAGAACUGCGAAAGCCUACGACUUGUUGUGGGCGUCAACGAGUUUUUGGGCCAAUUAAUUCUUUGUAGCUGCGCGUCGUUGGAAAGGGUGAUUUAUGUAUCAACCACCAAACUGCCAAUCGAUCGCCACUUAUUUAUCUUCGGUUGCGAGAAAUUACGAGGGACUGAGAAUGAGUCAAGGGCUUCCAGAAGGAAUAUGGGGCUUCAAAGCAUUAUAAAGUGAGUCCGAAUCAUUCUCUCUUUUUUUUCUUUUCGAUUUUCUUAAUGGAACUAUCACAAACAUCACUUUAGCUUUUAGGUAGAUUUGUAAUAAUUGCGGGAAAUCAAAAAACAAUCCAACGAGCAUGAAUUAUAUUUGCUUUUACUCAUUUUAAAACUCACUCCAUAUAAAUUGUUUUAUUUUCCGCUUGCGUUUUCUCAUAUUCUUUUCUUUUUAUGUAUACGAGAAAGUCCUAUUUGUACGGGGCUAGUUUUUAUCGUAAAUGAUUCUAGAAACUUCAAUGUCUGGAAAAAAAAUGCACACUAGCUCAGAGUCUCUGACAAAACUAUUAAUCUUGUUUUGCAUGGAGUGAGUUGUUCGGCUUAGCAAUAUUUUUAUGUAAGAUACUCUACUCUAUUGUCAUUUCUUACUUAAUAUAUUUAUUAUGGAGAUGAGUUUGGUGAUUUUCGAUUUUUACGGUGAAGAUGGAACUUUAAAAGACUUUGGUUCACAUUGAUGGAUUGAGAGUUGCUUGAAUUAGCAUGUGGUUGGGGUUGGCCAAUUAGGAUGUGUGUUCCCAAAAGCAUCUAAAAAUAUAUUAUUUAAGAUUUUGCAUUCUAAAGGGAACAAUGAAAAAUCUGAUUGCUGGAUAAUGUAUUUUCACAUCAAAGCACAAGGAUUGUUUCUUUCUGCGUACUUGAACACUUGCUAAGGGAGUAUAGGCAUAGUGUAAAAUAAGCAAAAAGUAAGAAGAUUCCUAAUUCUCGUCUUCUUAAUCUUUUCGGAAUGAUUGAAUCAAGUUUUUAGAUGAUUUUGAUCUGCUUCCUAAAAAAAAGUUUAAUGUUGGUUUAUAGCUAAACCCAUCAUUUGAUACAAAAGAUUUAAGUAACGUCUUUUUAAUAUUUUUAUUAGUGUUUUAUUUUUCAUAUUCAACGGCAUAUCUUUUUUAUUGGUUGUUUCCUUUUUUUCUAUUUUGCUCCAUCGACUAAAAAAGCAGAAAGCACAUAUUUUUUUCAAUCUCAACGAUUGCAAUUAAAACUUAUAUAAACAGAUAGAAACUGUUUUAAAUUCCUCAAAAGAUACUGAUGAAAGUCAUAAAUAGAUUAAACACGGUGGUUGAUUUGAUCGCAUGAUUUUGAUCAUUGUCGAAACUUUCAUGGAAGACUGGUUAUGAUUUUAUUUUGCAGGAAUCGUGCUUUGAUUGGAUCUGGACAUGUUUUGAAGGCUUGUGAUCACGUGAUAAUUGUUAGCACGCAGGGACGGACAAAGUCAACAUUUUAGGUGAUAAACUCUCUCGAGUCUUGACACUCCUUGCACCUGCUUACGCCGCAAAUUCUCGAACUCCUCUUCACGGUUGUGGCCAAAGAUAUUUGGUCGACUCCUUGCGGCUGCUGAGUCCCAUUGUCGUCACGACCGAGCGGAACUGAAGAAGCCAGGUCUCUUUGACGCCUCUUGAUGGACCACGGCCAUUGCGCCUCACCAUCUGCCGCCAUGUAUACUCGGAGCCUCUCCAAGGCGUUCUCUCUAGUUUUCGCCAUCGCCAUUUCCAUUUCUCUAGCUUGCUUCGGUUCUCUUUGCUCUUCUUCCUGCGGGUCUCCUCCUGUCUGUGGAGCAAUGCAGGAGGACACGUCUUUACUCUGUGUGACGGCCCGAGGCAGAGGAUUAUAUGUACUCGACUGGCUUUUUCCGGUCCUGCGCCCUAUUACUAAUGUUAGACUCGAAUCCACUACCCGUUAUGUUCGUCCUUCUUCAUGUAAAUUAACUAAAUUAAAAACAAAAACAAAAACAAAAACAAAACAAAACAAAACAAAACACAGAAGAAAACAACAGAAGAAGGCAUAACGGUCGGCCCCCGCUGCUGCCCCACCAUCAUCGAAAAGGGCCAAUGAUGGUGGGGGAUGGCAAGCCCUGAAGCCAGUGGCUGGCGAGGAUCCCCGAACCUCCACAGUGGCCAAUGACCAUCGCCAGCCGGCCAUCCCCCACCACCACCGGCCCCCUCCGGCGGGAGCAAGGGCCCUCGCGAUUUUGCCUUCUUCCUUUUUUUUAUCAUUUAAAUUUAGCUUAUUUUUUAGUUUGAUUUAAAUAAAAUUUGUAAUAAAAAUCAGAUAUAGAUAUAUUCCAUAUUUUUGCCAUAUCAUUGCCACAAGAAGAAAUAAAAUAUUAAAAAAACCCAAGUCAGUGUUUUCGAUUACCUAAGUUAGACAAAAUUAGUGGAAAAACUUGAUUGCAUAAAUUUGACAAGUUUUAAACUUUAAUGGCAUUUUCUGUAAGUUUUAAGAUUUAAUUACACUUUCAUUAUAAGUUUUAGGAUUUCUAGAUUACUUAUCCCUAAUUUGUAUUUUACCACAUUAUGAACUUAAGCUAUCACAACCAACUACUGCAAACUCCGUCUAAGUUUUGAUAUUGGAUCACAUGAUCUUGAAUUCGAUCAUUCACUCUUUUCACCUUCAAUAAUUUUGGAAAGGUAUUAUGUCUGCAUAUUUCAUACUUUCACUCUUCUAUCUACCAGCGUUAGCAUAAAGAGGUAUUCAGAUAUAAAACUUAGUGGACUCUUUAUUAGCUCAAACCUUUGGAACUACUUAUCGCGCACGCCGACUAUAAGGAAAGCAAUGUCAUUCAUGCUCUUCUUUAGUACAUUUCCAGGAGCACGUCUAAUCGUACCCUAUAUCCUGGAGAACUUUUGACAGCAAUUUUGGACCUUUUGGUUUCUAUCGGUCUUUGCAUAGAGGUGGUCAAUAUGAUAAAUGAAGAUAAAGAAGAUAAGAUUUGCGACCGUAAGACUGAUAAUCGCAUAGGUCGGGCAUCAUGUGACAGUUCAAAUGUCGCACGAUCUAAAGUUUUAUGUUAGCACUGCCCUGGCUUUCCCGCUGCUAAGAAAACCCACUAAGUUGAGACGCCGAGGUGUCUUCUAUAAUGACCUCCAGUAGGAAACCGAGUACUCUCAAGUCAAAGGAAAUAACAAGCCGAGAUUGAACAAUUAUGAAUUGUUAAGUUUGAGAAGUGGGUCCCAUAUUUGAAACAUUGAAAACUUGACGGCAUCUCAUGAACAACGAGGGAAGAAAAAUAGUCUUGAUUCAGCGAGGCACCAAGAAAUGUCCUCGGGAUUUCAUCCCGAACCGACAGGACACAAAAAUAGACAGUCCCUGAAUAGAUGCAGGAAGCCAGUAUGCUUCCACAAUCCAGAAGUCUGAGAAAUAAGCAUGCGUACGCUUUCCUGAUUCAUCAUUGCACCCAUGUUCAGAAGAAUGUCUGAGCAAGUAGGCAUUUCCCAUGUUUGUAUAGGCACAUGCAUCCAUGAUCUCCUGUGAUUCUAUUUGGGCGUGACUUGUGCACACUCGUGUCUAAGAGAGAGGGAGAGAUAUCUCGUUUGAUGCAACUUCAAGUGUGAAUCUCCUUGGACAUGAGCUGUGAUGCAAAUUUAUGUACCCUACGGAUGUUUUAUCUGGUGAAGGAAUUGCAAAGAAAUGCCAGGGGUAAAAGAUAUAUAUAUAUAUAUCAUGGACAACCCGAAGGACAUCCUGUGAAAUCAUUGAUAACCAGAAGCAUAUCUGCUCUUCGUAGAUGGGAUGAUUAAGCAUUAACAGAUUGUUGUUGGUCACAAGUGCUCGAACAAGCAAUUCUUUAGCUUCUUCCUGCUUCUUUAGCAUGUUGCAGAUCUGCAAGACAAUUCCCCUAGGCAGCCAAUGUAUUACUAGCAGAAGGAUCACAAAGAUGGUAGAGUAGACAAGAUUCAAUGCCAGUCUCUGUUCCAAUCGCUUUCUGAAAACUCAAUUGCUAAUGUUAGACCUUUAAUUAUAAAAAAUAGCUAUAAGGUACGAUAGAUUCAUCCUCAAGGAUAAUUAGGUUGGACUGUAGAAGAAAUCAGAAUUUCUGUAUUAGGGAGAUUCUCUUCAUCAAUUGAUUUCUAGUUGUACAAGUUCAAUAAAUAAAGAUGCUUAAUGUCAAUGAAUCCAUAACAAAAUUAUCAGAAGUGAGCAAACAUCCAGUAGUGUCUCUCUAUUAGAAUCUCCAUGGUUUCUGACUAUAGUCUACAACAUGCAUAUAACUGAUCACCAAAGCCAAAAAGUGCAUAAGCAACUCAUUUAUAGCAAAAAUAGUCGCAAUUCACUUACAUCUUCAAGUUCCUUUGUAUAAGCUUCAGCCUUUUUGACAUUUUCAUCAGUUUCCAUGACCAAUGGACUUCCAACUUCAGUGGAACUCGCCUUAGGAGAAAUCUUAACAUGAAAUUUAGGAUGGUCACCAGACACUCUGUUGGUUUUGCUUUGUUCGGUGUCCUCAUGAUUGCAAACCUGAUACGUAUGAUCUAAGAAACCAGCAAGAAACGAGUUUCGACUCUCUGUUGAAAUAGAAAAACUUAAGAAGGUUCUGUCCAUUUACCGGUUCGGUGACAACAGCUUCGGAGGAUUCGCUGAAACUUCUGAAGUGUCAAGGGUAAGAACAUUACUUCCACAAACAAAACCCAGUCACAGGAGCGAAGGCAGUGGAAUUAUUAGCACUCUUCACCUUUUUCCACCUGGAGACUCAGAGGGCGAUUCCAGUGGACUAGAUGACAUCCCCUGCAAAAUAGACACUCACCAAUUCUAAUGCAUUACAAAAUAGCAUCCCCAUAAUUGUAUUUGCAACACCCUAUUGAAGAGGUCUAAGGUAUUACUUGGAAGUGAAGAGCAAACAAUAGAAAGGAACCUCAGAUGAUUUCCCUUAUGAAUUGAGAAGUGGCUGGUUUUAUUGGUUUACCUGUUCUGUGACAACAGUUUCUGAGGAUUCUCUGAAACUUCUAAAGUGUCAAGAGUAAGAACGUUACUUUCCACAAACAACCCAGUCACAGGAGCAAGUAUAAUGGCGCUAUUAACACUCUUCACCUUUUCUCACUUGGAGACUGAAAGAGCCGUUUCGAUGGACUAAAUGGCAUUAAAUUGGCAUCUGAUCCCUGCAAUAUACACUCAUGGCUUCUAAUGCAUUACAAAGUAGCAUCCCCAUAAGUAUAUUAGAGCAAACAACAGAAAGGAACCUCAUAUGAUUUCCGUUUCAAGGAUGAAUUGGGAAGUGACUGGUUUUCGGUGCUUUUGCUACAAUGAGCUAAUGAAUGUGCUGCAUCACCUCGCAUUGCUGUAAUUUGCUCAGAGUCUCUCAUGGAACUGAUUUCCUCUGUAGGACUAAAACCAAGUUGAUCUUCUUUGGUUCUCGUGGCCCUGCGCACAUUGACAUCAUGAUCUCUUGAGAGUAUCUAUGGUUUCAAAUACCAGGACAUCAAGUCAGGAUGCAGGUUAGACCUCUUCGUUCUCAAGCUAGAAAGAUAAAAAGCCCUCUUGGCAGAAUUAAGAGGGUUACUGUUCUUCACAUCAACAUUUCUGACCCUUGAAUCCUUAAAAGAUUCCUUGCUUGAAUCACUGAUUUCAGGAUUCACACAUAUCUUAACAAUAGGUGUCAACAACUCAUUUAUACUGCCCAUCUUGCAGAGGGAACUGCAAAAGUUUAGCGCAAGCAGAUUAAGCAUAUGCAAAUUAAUGCUGUGUCAAAGGUCUAGUCCACUAUAUGCAAUCUACUUGCUAGCGUUGGCAAUGUCUAAGACGGGACAUGACAUAACAUGAACAGAAUCAAACAUAAAAUUGAUAUGACAUGACAUUGGCGUAUCCUUUCUGUCAUGCGGGGUUAUUUCAGUCUUGAAAGUAUAUAUCAUUUAAAGGAAUAUCACUCUCCCAUGCCAUGUGACCCAAAGGUUCAAACUGAACAUGAACAUAUCAUGCUACGGCAGAUUUUGAACCCCACUUCCAGGCUUGUAGUCUUCUAGCAGAUAAUUUAGUCAUGUUUUACCAGAGACAAAGAUGCCAAUAUCUACUUCAAAGAAUAGUACGAAAAAUUUAAUGAGCUUUCCUGGCCAAUAAUAAAGGGAGACUUAGACUUGAGAGACAAUUGCAAGUAAAGGUUUAUAAUUUCGGCUGAAAGGGCUUUAAUUUCAUCAACAGCAAGCAAAUAAUCAAGAACAUAUCUACAUGUGUUGAUCAAACUAGAAAUAUACAGCAAUUAGGAAAGUGUCCAAUGUCUCAACGCAAACUAUGAUAUACAAUUAAAAUAAAUAAAAAAUCUCAUUUUACCCUAGUUGAAAGUCCGACGGAACAGAAGAGUAAUAACCAGGGCAUCUUUAUAUCGGGAACAAAUAAACUUUCCCUUUUUUUAUUUUGAGUUAGUGUGUGGGUGGGGGAGUGGCAGCAGGGAGGAGAUAACUUAAACAUUACUUGUUAGAUACUGUUAAAUGAAGUACAUGGGAAAAAUAAAAUGCUAGAAUUUGAACAAAAUUUCAAACAGCUCAACAAUUACAACUCGAUUGGGUACGGAUGCCUCACCUCAGAUGAGAAGUGGGUCUCACACUGAUAUGGCUUCCAGUCAGAGGAGGUUGACUUUUUGUUUGCUCCCUUGCUGGUGAAUUUAGACCAAAAAGCAACUUUCCCCCAACUUGAGAAUCCUUGGCAUUGUUUCCCAACCUGUUGCACAUUGCAUGAACCAUGUGAAGGUAUAAAGCAUAUCAAAGAAACUAAAAUCAAAAAGAAAAUCUUCACCUAGUGUCAUUUAGAUGUACAGAAGCAAGUCUUUUGCUGCUAAAUUGAGUAAGCUUUCUCCCAGUUGAUGGUUCUCGAGAAGACUGACUCUUAAUUUCCUCUGAUCUCUUGGAAAACUUUGAAUGGGCUUGUCCAGGCUCUCUACCAGUAAAGAAAGAGGACGAUAUUUAAGUGCAGGUUCUCCGCUUGGGACAUUUACAUGUUACUAAAAGUGAGCUAAGAAGUGCAAAAACAUUAUGCUGUUGACCCAACAAUCUUUAUACUGAACUCUGGAAGUCACCAUAAAAUGCAUCAACAUGAUAGCAAAAACUCAAUGAAUGAGUGCAUCAGACUGAAAUCACAACAACUUGCAUUCCCCUCCUUAAAAAUUAAGCUACGAUGCAUAAGCUUUCUAAAUUUUCACAAAAUCAACCAUCAAGAGUCCAUGUUUCUUAAAAGGAGCCAUUAAUGGCGCAUUGCUCUAAUUUGGCAUGGCAGAAACUUGCCAAUAUCAUCCUAAUAUAGAUUCCCCCUCAUUCCUCUAAUCACUUAAAGGUAAGGGAUAAAUGGGACAACCUGAAAACAGCCAUUUCACUGUCAUGCACUACUUUGCUUGGGAUAAUACAGGCUGUAUCAUUAAGACUUGUCUCAGGCUUGGCCUCUUCAUCGUGAGCCUUAGUAGCAUUCAAUGAAUCAAGAAUAGGUUUAUUGCUUCCAUUUGCCUUGCCUUCUGCUCCUGGCACAUGUGGCACACUUGAACCUUCUGACUGCAUGUUGCCAUGAGAAUAUGUAGCUUCCCCUAUAAUUUCUUUCCUGUUACUCUGCUCUUCACCCAAAGUGGAAUUUAAACUUUUGAAGAUAGACAAAUCUUUUCUUGGAUGCUCUGGGAUGGUACUUAAAUUUUUGUCAACCCCGGGCUGAAUAUGUACCUCUAUUGGGGCUGUUUUGUCUGACAAAUAAUCUUGUUGGUCAGAUCCUUGAGAACACGUGCUGUUUGUCUUUCGAAAGAAGAUUGUUGUGGAAUUGAAAUUCUACAUGCUGCGGACUUUGGCACCCAAUCAUCCAUUCUUGGGUUUGGCAUAGAAGUUGAAGUUACAGAAGUUCCUACUUGAAUCUCUGAUGUACCCACACAGCACGUUGAUUGAAUAUUAUCAAUCAUAGUGUUAUCCUCACAGGAAUUGCCUCAGGAAGGCGUGUUUCCGAGCCCUGUUGCUCAUUCAUCUCCGAUGAUCUCCCUUUGCUUCCUAUAACCUUCUUCCCACCUUGUUCUUCCUUAGUCAUGGGUGAAUCAAGAUUAAAGCCAUCCAACCUGGAUAGCACAAAUGGCUGCUAAGUUCAUAGAUUGCAAUCACAAGUCAUGACAUUUCCCUUCACUUGAAAAUAUAACCUUAUGUAUCAAACAAUAUGCCAUAAUGUAUAAAUUGUGAAGCUGUCUUACCCAUUAAAAUCAAAGGAGAAAGAAAAUCUUUUCUUAAAAUUUCCUUCAUCAGGUGAUUCUGCUUCAUUUCUGUCCUUGUUUGGAGAUUUCUUAGAUAGGCAGGAGAAAUCAAGAUCCGGCAUGUCCACUUUGAAUGAUGAAAACUUGUUAAAGUCAGCAUCCACGUUAAAAUCGACAUCCCUGAAAAAGGUUAUUUAACAAUCAAUCCACAGAAAACAGAGAUAUAUCCCACUCUCAUAACAAAUAAGAUUGUAACUAGCUUCCAUGCAUGUUCACCAUCAUCCAUCAUUUUAAUAAUUUUUGAAGUGGCUGAAUGAUAUGUAAAGCAUGGCUCACUCGAUCACCACGGGCAGUAUUCUCCACAAAGAGGUAAUUGUACACGGGUGAAUAUACGUAACCAACUCAAGUAUGAAGAUAGAAUAUUAAAGUUACAUUCCACAUCCAUACUGGUUUAUUAUCUAGCUGCCCAUACUUUAUGUUUCACUUACAGUUUAUCAAAGUUGAAUUUCUGUGUUUUGCCUUUGCCAACAGUAUCAACGCUAAAAUCCACUGUGUCAUCUUCUGCCACAGACAACGACUUCCAAGAGGUAAGGAACUCCUUUCCAAAUUCGGCAUCUGUUGAAAUCAGAUUUAACAUUGAGCUAUGACCUACAUAUCUGACCUUCAUAAGACAUGGCCAGAAAUGUGUACAAGCAAUCAUCCUAAUCAAUGACAAGGAUGAAAACCAAUUUUAACAUUAAGAAAGCUUUAAUUUGUUUUCAAGUAGAUGAAAAGUAUGCUGCACUAAUUAUUGACCACAAUAUCCAAAAGAGUCAUGUGUCAGGCCAUAUUACAAAAAUAACCUAAACAGAUUAUAUAGGUUUAGGAUUGAGAAAUAUGCAUCCUUGUGGUACCAUUCCACCUCUGAAGCAAAUUUACUGUAUUUUGAGAUUUGUCAAGCUUAUACAGAGUACCUAGUAAUGAUUUAUCCUCUUUCUGAUUCACCACUGCAGUUUCCUUAGGUGAAUCUGCCAUCUGCAAGGGAAAGAGUGAGGAAAGCAUAAGAAAAAAGAGAAUUCCAAUGGCCCUUAGAAUUUACAAAAGACAAGGGAGAUUUUAAUUGCAAACCCAUUAGGUUGGCUAUACUACACAGCAACCUCCUCUCUUCGUAAAAGCAACAUCUCUUUGUUAAACAAUUGCAUCCAUAACAUUUUUGCACUUAUCUUAUGCAGAAGCAUCUAUAAACUAACCUAGGAGGGACCUUAGCCAGUCCAUUAAAGUGAAAAACCCACACAUGACAUGUAGACAGUUCAUAAAGGAGCAGCAUCAUUGACUUAUACAAAGUGGUUAGGUGGAGAGUUGCAAGCUCUAAAUUUAAAACCGUGGGGCCAAAAACACCCAUAUAUACGUGCCACUAUCAUAUAUCUGUGAAGAUUCAUUUUUCAUCCUUCCACAAAUGCAAAGGUAAAGGAUCUCCAAUCCGACAGCAUUGAUAAGAUGGACACCUAAUCAGUACAAUAAAGUAACGAUCAUUUCAAGAAUUCUCUGCCUUGGUUCAAAGGGACAUAAGUCUCUCAUACAUUUGAUAUGAAAUGUCUGAAGGAGUUCAACUAGACUGCAAGUGGAAACCACUAUAGCUAUUGCAAAGGAUGAACAAAUGCAGUAUUAAUAAGUUCAUACGGGGGCAAAGCACAGGGCUAAUCCAGUAUAAUCUAUCCCAAGAAAAGAACGCAGAUGCUAUUUUAACAUGAGAAACCAUAGCAUUGAGUCUUAGCCAAUGAAUUAAUGGCUGUCUUAUGACUGCCUAAAAUAUAUAGGUCCUCCUAUCACAUUCAGAUCAUCUGUUUUCCAGUACAGAGAAGUUCAAUUAAAACGAAUGUAAUUGAAAAAAAAAAAUACAUCAGAACAGCUACUUAUCAUGGCAUCAUUUCUACGAAAGCAGAUGCCAAGUAAUAGCAUUGUCUUUGUAUGUAAAUGCUGUAAGUCAUAGUGAUUUCCUCUAGAUAAGCGUCUACAUUGCGCUCAAACUGCAAGGAGCUAUAUACUUCCAGCAAAAGGCUUACAGCAAUUCUGAACGCUAACUUAUCCAGAGGCUUGUUCCACCCAGUUUCUGAAGCCAAAUGCGCCAGAAUAGUCACGGAGGUAUAUCAGAGAGAGAUAAACGCAGCAAUCAAGAAGAAAUACUUUGCUGCGCCUAACCUACAAAAUCAUAGAUGGUGCUCCAACGAACUCGAUAAAGCCAAUCUACAUUGAUCACAAAGAGGUCUUCCGAAAUCAAACGGACCUACUGUGACGGGAGGGUGGGAGACGCAAAACGAACGAACGCGAAACGGCGAGAGACAACUGAACGCGGAAUCAAAGAGGUGAGAGAGUCCGAAGGAACUCCUCAUCAAAUCCACCAUCGGAAAACUAAGCGCGCUCGCGAAGUACCUCCGCUCAACACUACGAAACAAUCAGCGAAAGCCCAUGGUUCAGAGGCACGGAGCAACGAGACACUGAAGAAGCCACGGCCAGAAGAAGAAAUCGACGGAUUGCGAAAGCUCGAGAUCGAUUCGCAUGUCAACAGUACCUUCCUUGCGAUCGCGACAGGGAGCGAGCUCGAGCGUGGGAGAGAGAUAGAGAGAGAGAUCGAUCGACUGAAUUCGAAUGGAGAUGAGAGAGAAGUAAUCUGGUUUUUCUACAGGUUUUUGAAUGGCGACUCUUUAUAUAUAGAGCGAGACGGAGAGUAGCUUUGAAAGAGGCGGGACCGGAAAAGCGACGGAAAUUGGGCGGAGGUUCACUCCAGCGUCGUGUGUUCGCCGAGAGUUUUCUCGACGGGACUGAGAAAAUCCCGAUUUUGCCCCCUAGGGGAAACAUUUUCACUUAACUCCGUUCAUUUCAAGAGAAAAAAAAACUUUAAAAAAUAUUUUUAUAAGAGUAAUCACUUCAAUUGUUUACAAAAAUUCAUAAAAUAUUCACUAAUUAUUUCAAAUGAUAACAAAUGAUUGUUUUUAGAAAAAUAUAAUUGAAACAAUCCAAUUCUGUAAAUUAAAUGAAAUUUGUCUUGAAAAAAAUCCAAUGAACCUACAUAUCUGAAUCCAAAUAAAUCUUGACCGUCGAUCACGUCAAUCCACACUUGGGAACCACAUGAUCAAUCACCUUGAUGGAUUCAGGGCAUGUAAGCUCAAGUCCAGAUAAGCAUCUACCCUCAUAUUGAAAUUCAAUGUGCUAUUGGUUGAUUACCGUGGAAGCUCAUCUCACAUUCCAAGUGUCACAAAAAAAAUUGGGCAUUUCCUCCAGGGGCAACUUAAAAGUUGGAUUGAGCAGGACUUAGAGAAAUUGACAAGAAGAUGAAUAUCUUAUUAUGUUAUAAAAGAGGAUUUCUUUUUUUUAAGUUGUAUAGUGUUGACAUUUGUCGUACCUCAUCUGCUAUAGGAAUGUUGGGCUUAAAGUACCAACAAAAUACCAACAGCCCAUUGAGCUAGUCUAUCACCGGAGUCCUAUCAAAUACGAGUGGGAAAUUCAAAGCCGCCAGUACACUUAAGCCCAAGCCCGUCCUUUGCGAAUUGAUUUAUUACACAAUUGUCUUUUUUAUGUGUAAUGACAAAAACUAUUAGUUAAACUUUUAAAUAAUAAUUAUUUUUCUUAUGGGGACAAUUUUUUUUUUUUUUUUGUCGACAGUCAAGCAUGGUUUUUUCGUCGGAUUUUGUAAAGCUCGUGUCUCUAAUGUGUAAUUAGAGCUAUAAACGAUUGAGUUGAUUGGCCAUGGAAAUAGGUGAUGACCGAGUUCUGACGAGCUCGGGCGAACGUGUUUGGUAUUGCAUAGUGAGUCGGAUUACCUCUUCAACAAUCCCCCCUCUUUUCUUUCGUUUCGAGAUAGUCUACAACCCUCGACUCCGGCAUUUCUGUCAUCCUGAUGUUCUAGGCCUUAAGAGAGCUGAGCGGACAUUUCGACCGUGUCUUAUGCUGCUAGGCAUCGACCGUGCGAAGGAAGGAGUAGAAGCAAUGAAGGUGAAUUUGAAGGAGGAGCGUGAACUGGAGGAACUAGAGGAAUUGGACAGAGAAUCUCAAAGUAAUCAUGAUAACAUGGAAUAACUGAUAUGGAUGUAGAUUCAGCGCAAUUCCAUUUCUUUAGGAAGCUAGGAGUAUUGAAGAGUCUUCACGUUACUCUAAAUAUGCUUGUAAACAGAGAUUUUCACUGGGUACCUAAGUGUCAGACUAUUGAAAUUGCUCACAAAUUUCAUGAUUGCCAAUGUACAAUAGUCUCAAGCUAGAUUAGUAUCAGACUUUGAAGCACUUUUGUAGCAACUUUCAAAUGAAAACUUUUCAUUCUUCAUCAGGAUUUCAUGGGACUGCCAACAUUUUGGCCACCAUUUAUUUCUCCAUGUUGGAAACGCUAGAACUGCGGAAAGAGAAUGAAUCGGGUGUGGCAGUGAGAACAACAGUUUCAACAUCAAUAACGACAAUGACGGCAGCAUCGACAAACGAAGGCUUCGCGAAAGAUGAUCGGGCUCUGCCUACAUCUUUCUCGUGAUCUCAAUCGGUCUAAAAUUAAUCUAUUCUGAGCAUGAAAACAUUUUGAAAACUUGUCUUCAGUAGUUGUUGAAAAAAGCUACGUCAAACUUCGAAGCUUUCUUGGAAGGAUAUUGCAGGGUUCAGGGAAGGUUCCCAGAAGCAUCUCCUUGCCCAAAAGAAACAAAACAAGAACUGAUAUCAUACCAAAAAAAUGGAGACUUCCUUUUCUUUUUUCGACAGGUAAAGUUACUUUUAUUAUUCCGAACAUGGGACCUGCAACUUGCACGCGCAUUUGAACAAGUACUUAGCCACCAAGUUUGAGCAUUCGAUCUAAUAGUCUUCCAUUGUUAAAAAAAAAAAAAAAAAACCGACUUUCGGUUUCAACCAUUUUGCAAGUUCAGGGAAGGUUUCCAGAAGCAUCUCCUAAUCCAAAAGAAACAAAACAAGAAGUGAUUUCGUAUAUAAAGGGCCCGUUUGGUUCGGCUUUGGGGGAAUGCCAUUUGGAGAAUGCAAAUAUCUUUGAGAGAAAGAGGCUUUCGGAAAUGUUAGACCGUUUGGUAAAUUUUAGCAUUGAAAUGCAACUUGGCAAAAACACCGUUUGGCAAACUUUGCAUUUGGAAUUAGCUUUUGGUAUUUUUUAAUUUCUUUAAAAUCUGAAAUCAAAUCCGGCGGCCGGCCACUGCCGGCCAACCGCCGGCGACCGCCGGACGGCCAGAUCUGGCCGUCGCCGGACCACCAGAUCUGGCCGCCGGAGGUCGCGGAGGCCAGAUCUGGCCUCAAGACCGCCAGAUCUGGCCGCCGAACGGCCAGAUCUGGCCUCGCCUGGUCGCCUGGCUCGCGCGAGACCAGGCGACGCCGGCCGAGGUCGGGCGACCUCAGGCGGCGUCGCUGGCUCGCGCGAGACCAGGCGACGCCGGCCGAGGUUGGGCGACCUCAGGCGGCGUCGCUGGCUCGCGCGAGACCAGGCGACGCCGGCCGAGGUCGGGCGACCUCAGGCGGCGUCGCGUGGCUCGCGCGAGACCAGGCGACCGAAUCUGGUCGGGUGCUCCGAGCACUGCUCAGCCCGUUGCGUGGGUCGCGCGACCCAGGCGACGCCGCCUGAGGCCGCGACCCACGCGACGGCGGUGCGUGGCGACGGCGGUGCGUGGGCGACCAGCUCCAGCUGGUUGAGCUCCGCCGGCUAAAGCUUCGAUCUUGAAGAAACGAUGAAGACGAGGAAGACGAUGAACAGUUACUUUUGAGGGUAAAAGAAGAAAACUAAAUUAUCAAUGAGGGCAAAAGUGGAAGAAAAAAAAAAUCAUUAAACCCCUUCAGCAUGCCGAAAAUGCUGAAUGCCCAAAGCAGGUCCCCACCUGCUUUGGGCUUUCAGCAUUCCAAAGGCAAACAUUUUGCCAAGUAGCCUUUGAAAGCCGAACCAAACACCCUAAAAUUUUUCCCAAGGGGCUUUGGGGGCUCAAAGCCCCUUGGGAAAGCCGAACCAAACGCCCCCAAAAUGGAGACGACUUUUUUUAUUCUUUUUUUUUUUCCGAUAGGUAAGAUACUUUUAUUAGCCCGAUAUAAGGAAAGGGUGGAUCAAAGAGAAUAAAUAAAAUAUUGUGUGCAAAAAAGCAAAGAAAAUAAAAAAGUAAUAAUACUUGGAAUGAGGUAAAUUAAUGCAUAAUGAAAGUUUAAUUCCUUGAUUUCCACGUAUGUUAUGCCAUAAUCACUUUCUUCCGAACUGUUGCACAUGGGGCCUGCAACUGCACGCGCGACAAGCCAGCCAGCUGUGAACGUCCUCAGUUGGCUUCUGCUAAUGGGGCCUUCAACUGCGUGACUGCUUUCACAAGUGUGUCGACCACAACUUUAGUUUUUUAUUUUUUAUCAUCGACCAAUAGCAUUCGAUCUUAUGGUCUUCGUCGUAAAAAAUUGCUACAUCCUGUUUCCACCAUCUUUUCAUAGACCCAUAGAAUUCUCCUGUAACUACAUUAUUUGCUCAUAACGUGUUGACGCGGAAUAUUUUCUGUUUCCACCAUCUUUUCUUAGACCCAUAGAAUUCUCCUAUAACUACAUUAUUUGCUCUUAACGUGUUGACGCGGAAUAUUUCUUUGCUGAAGAUCAUCGAGUGAGAGAGGGAGAGAGGGAAAGAGAGGUCUGCUUAGCUGAGCAAAUUACUGCUAUGGCAAGCUCAGAUGCUGGAACAUCAUUGGGAAGCAAGUACCAAGUGUUUUUUGAGUUUUAGAGGACCCGACACUCGAACUGGAUUUACUGAUGUCCUCUUUCAUAGCUUGUUUGACGCUGGAAUCGACGUGUUUCGAGAUGAUGAAGAACUCCGUGUCGGUGAAAGAAUCGAUGAAUCACUGCUGCAAGCGAUCAACAACUCCAGGAUCUACAUACCGGUCUUCUCUCAGAACUAUGCUUCGAGCCAAUGGUGCCUUUGCGAGCUCGCACAGAUCGUGGCAAACACCUUGAAAUCUGAAGGUAAUAAAGAGAUCCUACCUAUUUUCUUUGACGUGGAACCUAAUGAUGUUAAAUUGAAGACCCCACUAUAUCACAAUGCCAUACUCAAUUUGGAGCACGAGAAGAAGUUGAGCAAUGAGCAAGUAAAUGUUUGGAGAGAGGCCCUCAUGGAGGUUGAUGCCAUAAAGGGGUGGGAGGUGAAGAAAUACAAAGGGUAAGCUAGCUAUUUUCAAGACACUUGUUUCCCCAAUUUUCCUUAACACUUAAUAAUAGAUCUCAAAAUUCUAGUAUGAUUGAGGUGGGAGUUUUAUUAUAGUAAUACUAAAUGAUGAAUCUUUACGUCUGCAAAACAAAAUGUGAAGACAUAAUAUUCAACUUCUACAGUUGUUGCUUGACAAUUGCAUAAAUUUUUAUACAACAAUUUUGCUCGAAAAUCCCAAGAUUGCUACUCUCAUGUUGAAAUCAAGUUGAAUUUCGGGUCAUGACAUAGCAUCAACGUUGUCAAGGGCCUAAAAGUAUGUUUUGGAGAGACCUUAAUCUCCAAUAUGGACUUUUAGAAUAUCACUCCUAGAUUUAAGGUCCCAUUACUUAUCAGAUCAUUGUGUAGUUUAUCCAGUGUUUGAAUGACAUCACUUCUAGUUAGGUAAUCGUGAAUUUUCUCACUAAAAUGGAUUUUCAUUGUGGCAGCCACGGAGAACUAAUCAAAUUGGUAGUUGCAAAGGUCGUGGAAUGUUUGAAGUCAAAACAUAGAUUGGUGACUAAAUAUUUAGUUGGAAUUGACAAUCAAGUAGUAGCAGUAAGCAAAUUAUUAGAUGUCAAUUCCGAUGGUGUGAGACUCGUUAAAAUUUAUGGCAUGGGAGGUAUUGGAAAAACUACACUUGCCAAGGUCAUCUUCAACCUACUUUCUUCUCAUUUUGGAAAGUGUUGUUGUUUCCUUGAAGACGUUCGAGAGAAGUCAUCAAGAACCGAUGGCUUAGUUGACUUGCAAAAAAGGUUACUAUCCGAAAUCGGUCAUCCUGUAGGAACAAAGAGCAUUGAUGAAAUUGAUUAUGGAAUUAAGAGGAUUGAAGAAAUACUUCGUAAUAAGAAAGUCCUUAUUGUACUCGAUGAUGUUGAUAACAACAAACAAGUGGAGAAAUUAGUUGGAAACAGUACUUUAUUUUCUGGAUCCAGGAUAUUGAUUACAACUAGAAAUAAAGAUAUCUUGCAAGUCAAUAGACAAAAGUAUCAGAUUUUGGAUUAUGAAAUGGAGAUGAUGAGUGCUGGACAUGCACUUGAGCUUUUCAGUAGUCAUGCAUUUAACACAGACUUUCCUUCAGAUGAUUACGAUUAUCUUUCAAGGGAGAUUGUAUUUGCUACUGGGAGACUUCCGUUGGCUCUUGAGGUGAUUGGUUCGUUCCUCUGCCACAAAUCGCAAGAACAAUGGAAAGAGACAUUGCAUAAGUUAAGAAGAGCACCUCAUGAGGAUGUUUUUGGAAAGUUGAAGAUUAGCUAUGAUGCCUUAAAUUUCGAGCAACAACAAAUUUUUCUCGAUAUUGCAUGCUUUUUCAUUGAUGAAGAUAAGGCAAAUGCAAUCUACCUAUGGAAAGGUUGUAAGCUUUCCCCAAAUACAGGAGUUGCUGCCCUCAUUGACAUGUCUUUGGUAAAGAUUGUGGAGAAUGAUAAGUUUUGGGUGCACGAUCAACUUAGAGAUAUGGGAAGAAAAAUUGUUCUCCUAGAAGAUCCAGAAAAUCCUGAGGAGCGGAGUAGGAUAUGGAUUUGUGAGCAAGCUCUUAAUGCAAUAAGACCAAAGCAGGUAAAGCACUUAUGGAGAGAUCUAACUAGUUUUUCCAAUAUAUUCCACUCCACUGUACCUUCUUGGGUUUUUUUUUUUUCCUUUCCUUUUUAUAAUCCUUUGGCUCUAUGAGAUAGAAUAUUGAUAUCGCUCAUUUCCUAUUCUCAUUUGUAGAUAAACAAGAAAGUUCAAGCACUAUCUCUUUAUUCAUCUAGACAAAGUAUGUGUGAUGUCUUUGUUUGAAUUAAAUGGAUUGGAAGGUUGGAACAUCUAAGAUUCCUUAAAUUAUCUCACUUAGCCCUUGUUGGAGAUGCAACAUAUCGCCUUCCCAAUUCAACAUUGAUUUCUUUGAGUUAUUUUCUGCAAAAAUGGACCAACACGUGCCUAAAGAAUUUAGUCGUUCUUGAAUUUGUCAACGUUACUUUCCUUGGUAAUUCGGAAAUCUCAAUCAAGGUGCGUAAUAUUCUUAUUCCUAUUUUAUUUUCUUGGAAAGUAAUAUUCGAUUGUUCAUCUAUUGAGUAUUGCUUUCAUUUUGACAGAUGGCAACAAAAUUGAAAGUUCUUUCUUUCAAAUAUUGUCAAAACAUAUUCAAAACACCUGACUUCUCUAGAUGCCCGAAUUUAGAGAAGCUUACUUUCGAACGUUGUGACAAUUUGAGGAAAAUCAAUGGCUCUAUUGGGAAGUUGAAGCGUCUGAUUGAUUUCAAGAUUGGUAGCUGCAAUUCUCUUAAACAUUUGCCUGAAGAAAUCGGUGACCUAGUGAAUCUACAGUAUUUCUUUGUACGCUGUAAUGAAAUGAAGAAACUCCCAAAUUCCAUGUGGAAGUUGAAAUUAUUACGUGAGUUGUUCUUUCAAGGUUGCACUUCUCGUAAUUUAGAUUCAGCAAAUUCAUGGGAAUUACCUUGUGUUAUUGGAAAGCUCCAGAAUCUGGAAGUGCUUCAAGUCAUUAGUUCCUCUUUAAAAGGUCGAAUUCCUUCUGAAAUUGGAAGUUUGCCCUUUCUAAGAAUCUUGAAUCUAUCAAGAACUCAUGUAUGUGAACUUCCAGAGACCAUCAGCAUGCUUCCUUGCCUACAAAGAAUUGAGUUGAUGGAAUGCACUAAUAUUCAAGAGUUGCCGACCCUCCCAACAAGUUUAACCCAUCUAAAAGUGUCAUCUCAACUGUUGCGGGUAGUCUCGGAUCUUUCGAACUUGACUAAUUUGGUUGAGUUGUAUCUAGUUGAUGAUGGAAUAGUAAGAGAUAAACUUUGUAUCGAUGAGUUACAGUGGAUUGGGAAGUUAUCCAAACUGACCAAAUUGAGCUUUGGAUUUCACAAUGUCCCUAUUCCUAUUGAGAUGGCUUCCCUUCCUGUGCUGAACGAACUUUAUUUGGAUGGAUUCAACCUACAAACCUUUCCGCAACUACCACUAUCUCUGGAAAAGCUAACGCUUAGAAAUUUCAAUUCAAUUGUGCCACUCUCUCUGAACCUAAGAAAUUUGUUAUAUUUAGAGCUGUAUGAUUCUCCAAUGCAAGAAAUACAACUUGAUGGGCUUCAACUUCCACAGCUAAAGAAGUUGUGGGUGGAAGGCUGGCAACACCUAGAAAGGUUGAGGCUAUCAAGAAUGAGGAAGCUGAACAAUGUCAAGGUGAAAUUGUGUUAUGAAGUUAGUUGAGAUCCAAUUUUCUUGGGUGUUCGAAUCACUGGAGGUAUUGACUAUUACCAAUAGCGAGUCCUUGGAAAGGAUAGUUUACGAUAAUGAAUUGAUUAGUUGUGAAGAGAGGCUAAUUUUUUCAUCGACGGUCUUAAAUAAGUUGCGUUUUCUCUACAUGUGGAUGUGCCCUAAGAUACUCGACGUUCAAGUUGUGGGUACGUCGGAAUUGUGGGAAAACUUAAUCAUUGAGGAUUGUCAUUACUUGCAACGUCUCGGUGGUUUGUCAAACUUAAAGAACCUAAAGUGUUUAUCAAUCAAGGGCUGCGAGAGGCUACGGGAUGUCGAGGGCGUCGACGAGUUGGAGUUUUUGAACCGUUUAAUACUUGAUGAUUGCAUAUCGUUGGAAAGGUUGAUUGAUGUGUCAACCACCAAACUGCCAAAUGAUUGCCAGGUAGAUAUCGUUAGGGGCAAGAGAUUACCUGGGGUUAAGAAAGGAUUAAGCUGCUUCACCCAGUCCUUCAAGCAUUAUAUGGCGAGUCUUGGAUCAUUCACUCUAUUUCUUUUUUAUAAUUUCUUGACGCAACCGUCCACGAACACCAAUUCAACUCUAAGGUAGAUUUGUAAUAAUGGUGAAAAAUUAAAAAAUAAACAAAAAUCAAUUAAUAUUUGAUCUGACUUAUUUUAAAACCCACUCGAUAUAAGUUUGUUUUAUUUUCAGCUCACGUUUUCUCACUUUCUUUUCUUUUCUUUUCUUUUUUAUGAGAAAGUUCUAUAGUGCAGCAAAUCUAUGGGACAAGGUCAGCUUUUAUCAAAAGUCAUUGGAAAAUUUGCAAUUUUUAGAAAAAAAAAUAUAAAUUAACUCUGAAUAUCUCAUUAAAAUGUUAUUUUCACUUUAUAUGAAAUGAAUUGAUUAUUUAGUAAUUUUUAUGGAAUACACUCCACUUUAGUGUCCUUUCUUACUUAAUACUAUUCAUUAUGGAGAUGAGUUUAGUGAUUUGCAAUUUCCACAAUGAAAAUAGAACACUAAAAGAAUCCUAUACUCAUUGCACAACUUCAAUAAGAAUUUUUUGAGGGAAUUCUUUCAAGAACACAACUUAAAUGGUCCACGGAUCCACAAAUCGACUGACUUAUGUUAUUGAUGGAGUUUAGGAUGCAUGUUCCAAAAGCAUCUGGAAAUAUUUAUUAAGAUUUUUCAUUCUAAAAAAAACAAUGAAAAUCUAAUUUUUGAAAGUCUGCAUCCUCCCCGGUUUUUGACCGUCUUUGUUAAUGGCCACUUUAAACAUCGUUCAGACAUUUAUUUGUUCAGUUGUGAGGCAUUUCAUUUCAUUUCAUUGACCUGCUUCCACUACACUAGAUAGAGAAGGGGAAAAUGAGGAGGAAAUGCUUCGUCUACUAAAUAAAUAAAUAAAUAAAAAACAUAAUGUCGUACUAAUGUCAUGGACAUAGGUAGCAUACGAGUCAAAGACAGAUGGCUGUGAUGUAAAAUUGUUUACAUUUGGUGAAAUGGAAAAUCAAAUUUGUUUGAUGUGCAUAAUCCACAUGUACAAUUUCGUUCUAAUCCUACAUGAUUUACGACAUUUUCUUGUGCGAUAUUGUUUCCUCUUCUAUAUUGAUCCUUUUCUCAUAUUUCAAUCUCAACAAAUAUAGCCAAGACUUGUAUGUAUGACUUUCAUCAGUAUCUUUUGAGGAUUUUAAAGCAACUCCUAUCUAUUUGAUUGCAUUAUUUUAAUCAUGUCAUUCCUUUUUCGAAAGCUUUCUCCUAAAAUUUAUUAUGAUUUUUAUUUUUCAGGAAUCAGGCUUUGAUUUGACAACAUAUUUCGGACGCUUGUGAAGUUCUGAAGGCAACCCGCACGAUAAUUGUUAGAAUGCAGGGACGGAAUUAGCAUAAUAUCUCAUCGGGGUCAAUGCACUGAAGAGUCCAUAGGUUUCCAAUAAUGAUUUCCAGUACCGGGGCAUCAACUUAGGAUGCAGGUGUGACCUCAUCAUUUUCAAGCUAGAAAGAUGAUUUACCCUCGUGGCAGAAUUAAGAGAGUUGAUGUUCUUCACAUCAACAUUUCUUCGAAUCCUCACAGGAUUCCUCGCUUGAAUUAAUUAUUUCAGGAUUGUCCCAUCUCUUUUCGAUUGGUCUUAGACAACUCAUUCAAAUUGCCUGUUUUGCAUGAAGAAUUGCAAAAAGUUUAGCAUAGGCAGAUUAAGCAUAUGCAGAAUAAUGUUAUGUGAAAGGCCUCAUCCAAUAUAUGAAAUCUACUUGUUAAAGCUAGCAAUCUCUCCAAGACGAGAUAUGACAUAACAUGAACAUCAUCAUAUGUAGAACAAAAAUGGCAUGGCAUUGAUACAUCAUACUCUCUCAUUUCACGUGACCCAACAUGAAUAUGUCAAGCAACAGCACAGUGUGAGCCCUAUUUCCAGGCUUGUAUCUUCUAGUAGCUAAUUUAGUCAUACGUAACCAGGGACAAAGAUGUCACUAUCCUCUUUAGAGCAUAUUAUGGUGAAUUUAAUAUAAGCUUUCGUGGCAAAUAAUAAUGGAAGACUUAGACUUGAGAUACAAUUGCAAGUGAAAGUUUACAAUUUCAAUAGUUGAUAUGUAUAUCUAUUUUCUUUACAUAAUAUACAUUGCCAAAAUAAUUAAUCACGGUAGACAGUAGAUGAUAUGUAUUGUUGGUUGAAACGUUAACGCAAGAUUGGCUGUGAUUUUAUUUCUUCAGGAAUCACGUUUUGAUCAGAUUUGGACAUGUUUUGGAGGCUUGUGCAAUUUUGAAGACGACUCGGAUGAGGAUCUUUAGCAUGCAGGGACGGACUGGCAUAUCAGUUUAGUGGGGUCAAUGUACUGAAGAGUCAAAGUUUCUAAGAAUGGUUUCAAAAACCGGGACAUCAAGUUCGGAUGCAGGUGAGACCUCAUCAAUUUCAAGCUCGAUAGAUGAAUUGCCCUCGCGGCUGAUUCAAGGGAAAUGCUGUUCUUCACAUAACAUUUCUGAUACUUGAAUCCUUGUAAGAUUUGUCGCUUGAACUAGUUACUUCUGGAUCAUCGCAUAUAUUUUCGACUAGUUCUAACAACUCAUUCAAAUUGCCCGUCUUGCAUGAAGAGCUGCAAAAAUUUAGUACAAGCAGAUUAAGCAUUUGCAAUAUAAUGUUGUCCAAAAGGUCUAAUCCAACAAAUGAAAAUUACUUGUUAGAGUUGGCAAUGUUUCUAAGACAGUGAUGAUACAACAUGAACAGCAUUAUACAUAGAACAUAUGUGACAUGACAUCGAUACCUCUUUUCAAUAACUAGGAGUUAUUUCAAUCUUAAAAGUAAAUGUUAUUUGAAGGACUAUCCCUCUCCCAUUUUAUGUGACUUAGAAGGUUCAACUCAAAGUUAAAUGAAUCUUACUACAGCAGAUGAUGAACCCUACUUCCAAGCUCGUAGUCUUCCAUUAGAUAAUCCAGUCACAUGUUACCAAAGACAAAGAUGUCAAUAUCCUCCUUAUAGCAUAUUAUGAUGAAUUUAAUAUGAGCUUUCUUGGCAAAUAAUAAUAGAAGACUUAGACUUGAGAUGCAACAGCAAGUAAAACUUAAUGAUUUCAGCUGAAAAGGCUCUAAUUUCACCUAGCAACCAAAUGAUGAGAGAACAUCAAAAGAUUUUUUUACACAUAUCUACAUGGGUUGAUCAAAUAGUAAUAUAAAGCAAUUGGGUGAGUCUCAAAUGUCUCAAUGGAAACUAUGAUAUACAGUCAAACAAAAAGUAUCUCAUUUUACCCUAGAUGUCCAUUCAAUAGCAGAAGAGCGAUAACCAGGGCAACUUUUUAUGGGGAGGAGGUAAAAUCCUUCCAGUCAUCACCUCUGAGGGGCGGGGGUGGCAGCGGGAAGAAGAUAACUUACACAUUACUGACUCACUGUCAGCUACUGUUAAGUACAUGGGGAGAAAGAAAUCAGUAGAAUUUGAGCAAAAUUUCAUUCAGAUCUAAGGUUACAAUUUGAUUGGGUAUAGAUACAUGACCCCAGGUUGAGAAGUGCUUUUCACACUGACAUGGCUUCCUGUCAAAGGAGAUUGACUUUUUGUGUGCUCCCUUGCAAGCGAAUUUAGAUUAACAAGCGACUUUCUCUCAACUUCAGAAUCUUUGGCUUUGUCUCCCAACCUGUUUAACAUUGCGUAAACCAUGUGAUGUUAUAAAGCACUCCAUGUCCAAUCAAAGAAACUGGAACAAAAUAGAAAAAUUUCAUCCUUUCUCAUUUAGAUGCACAGAAGCAAGUCUUUUACUAAUAACUUGAGUAAGCUUUCUCCCGGUGAUAGUUCUAGAGAAGACUAACUCUUGAUUUCCUCUGAUCCAUUGAAUAAAUUUGAGUGGGUUUGUCUAGGCAUCCUACAGGAAAAGAAAGAGCACAAUGCAUGAGCUGCAGGCUCUCUGCUUGGGACAUCAACAUGGUAGUAAAAGUGAACUGAGAAGUGCAAAAAUGUAAUGCAAUCAAUCCACACAAUUUUCUACUCAAAUCUGGAAAUUAUCAUCAAAUGCAUUAACAUGAUAGCCAAAACCCAAUGAAUGAGUGCAUCAAACUGAUGACCACAAGAACUUGUUGUGUUCCUGUCCUUGGAACAUUGAGCUACAGAUGCAUAUUCUUCCUAAAUUUUCAUAAAAUCAACUAUCAAGUCCAUGUUUCUUAAAAAGAGACAUUAAUGACUCAUUGCUCUUAGUAAAUGGCAUAAACUUGCCAAUGUUAUCCUCUUAUAAGUUUUCUGCCCUCUCAUUCCACAAAUCAGUUAAAGGUAAGGGAUAAAGUAGGGUCAACCUGACGACAGCCAUUUCACCGUCAUGCAUUACUUUACUCAGAUGAAGAUUUGUGGCAGGCUUGGCCUCUUCUAUAUCAGCCUUUGUAGCAUUCCAUGUAUCAAGAAAAGGUUUACCGCUUUAGUUUGCCUCACCUUCUGUUCCUGGAACAUGUGACAUACUUAAACCUUCUGAACGUACGUUGCCACAAGAAUAUGUGGCUUCCCCUACCAUUUGUUCCAUGUUACUCUACUCUUCAUAUAAAGCAGAAUUUAAACUUUUGAUGAUAGACAAAUCUUUUCUCAGAAGCUCUAGAAUGGUACUUAAAUUUGUAUCAGCCCUGGGGCUGGAUGUGAAACUUCUCUUGGUACUGUUUUAUCUGAUGUACAACCUUGUUGAUCGGAUUCUUGAGCGCACGUACUGUUUGUCCUAUCCAAAGAAGAUCGUUCUAAGAUUGAAUUUCUACAGACUGCAGAUAAAGUUAGACAUAGAGUUGAAGUUACAGAAAUCUCUACCUAGACUUCUGAUGUUACUCACACAACGUGUUGAUUCAUCAUUUUCAAUGACAGCUUUAUUUUACGGUCUGGAAUUGCCUCAGGAAGGAGACUUUUCAAGCCCUGGUGCUCAUUCAUCUCUGAAAAUCUCCCUUUGCAUCCUAUGACCAUCUUCCCAACUUGUUCUCCCUCAGUCAUGGAUGAAUCAAGAUUAGAGCAGUCCAACGUGGAUAGCACAAAUGACUACUAAGGUCCUAAAUGCAAACACGAGUCAUGAAAUUUGUUUCGAAUGUUUCCUUUUUUUUUGGUAUGAUAUUGUUUCCCCUUUUAAAUAGAUCCCUUCUCGUACUUCAAUCUCAACAAAUGCAGUUAAAACCUACAUAUAUGACUUUUAUCGGUAUUUUUCAAGGAAUUUAGAACAGCUUCUAUCUAUUUUCUUGUGCAUGGUAUUCAUUAACAAAUAGGUCAAACACUGGAUAUUAGUUGAUAUGUAUAACUAAUUGGUUUGACUGCAUAAUCUCAAUCAUUUCUUUCCUUUUCUGAAACUUUCAUGGAAGUGGUUGCGAUUUUAUUGUUCAGGAAUCACACUUUGAUUGGACUACAUGUUUUGGACCCUUGUGAAGUUUGGAAGACAAGUCGUGCAAUGGUUAGCUUGCGGGGAUCGAGCUAGCAUAUUUCUAAGAAUGAUUUCAAAUUCCAAGACAUCAAGUUAGGAGGCAGGUGAGACCUCAUUUUGAGGGAGUACUGUUCUUCAAAUGACAUUUAAAAGAUUCUUUACUUGAAUUAGUGACUUCAGAAUUGAUGCAAAUCUUUUUUGUUGGUUUUGACAACUCAUUCAAAUUGCCUGUCUUGCUUGGAGAAUUGCAAAAGUUUAGUACAAGCAGAUUAAGCAUAUGCAGAAUAAUGUUGUGUCAAUGGACUAAUCCAAUAUACGAAUUCUACUUAUUAGUACUGGCAAUGUCUCUCAAACAUGAAUAUGUCAGGCAUCCUGCUUCUAGCCUUGUAGUCCACUGGUAGUUACUUCAGUCACACUUUACCGUUGCUGUCGGCCCAACCACCACUGACGCCAAGAAGAGGAAAGGAAACUCAGAGGGUUGCGAAGAAGAGGAAAAUAAGAAGAGAGCCUAGAAGUGUGAUUAGUUCCAGUGCGGUCGGUUGUGUCUGCAGCUCGUCGUCACCCAACCACCACCGUUGCCGAGAAGAGGAAAGGAAGCUCAGGCGGUUGUGGAGAAGAGGAAAGGAAGAAGAGGGCCUGGAAGUGUGAUUGGUUCCAGUGCAGCCGAUUGUGUCUGCAGCUCGUCAUUCCGUCAUUCGCCGUCGCUGGGCCUAGUUGGCCGACUCGCCGUCAAAAACAAGGUGAGCCUCACUCCCCCACCCCGCGCUUGCUUGCUUCUCGUACCCUGUAUUUACUUCUACGAACUUAAAAUAGCUAUUUUCGACGUGCGGGUACUUCCCGAUUUCGGCUUUGCAGGCAGGUGGUGAUCGGCAGCAUCAUUCGGGCCUAUCGUUCGCUUAUUGGUUUUGGUGGGGUUUGGCGGUGUUCGAUUUGAACGAAUCUUUGCGAGGUUACCAAAUCGAUGUAAGUGUCUUCACGAAUCUUCGAUUCAUUUUUUUUUUCUGUCUUUUGUUUGGGGGGUGGGGGGUUGGUAGUGAUGGCAGGAGCGCUCUCUGGUCGUCCGAUUAGAUCUGGUCUACAAUGCUAGUCCUUUUGCUGAAGUGAUUUUUCUGAUCGAUUCUCUAAUGUACUGAUGUUGAAGUUUAUUGCAAAUCGAUUUUGCUGGCUUUGUUGCUCCGGUAUAUUCUCCCCCUGUUUCUCUCUAUUGCUAAUAGAUUGCUACUUGUUGAUAGGAGAAAUUCGAAUUAUUUUGAGUACUUGUUGUCCUUCUGUCUAUUACCCCUUAGAAAGAGAGAGAAUAAUAGUAGAUUACAUGUGGUUAACCCAAAUGGUUGUUUAUGUGUCAACAUAUAUUGUAAGUUGGGACAAUACCUUUCAAGUGUACCUAAGUUUACGAGAACCCAUUGUGAUCUUGCAGUUUAAUAAUGCAACAGAAUGUGUCACUUGGGGGCUUAUGUACUUGCAGCAUGUAAUAUGGUUGAAGUACUAACUUUUAGUUGUGAAUGCUGAGAUCUUUCAUCAUGUAAUCUCAAUUUUUUAGUGCUUUGAAGUCUAGACUUGAUAUUACUUACUUUUAGGCUUUUAGGAUACCUAUUACUUACUCAUAGUUUGUCAUACUAUUUUAUUUUAAUUUUAUGAAAUUUACUCAUUCCUAUAUAAAUUAAUUAACUUCAUAUGCAUUACAUCACAAUGAACUUUUGAGACCUUUAGUUUAAUAUCGUCAAAGAGAGAUAUCUGAAAUACUUUUAUUGUCACGAGAAGAAGGACAAGAUCUAUAGUGUGGGAACACUAUAAAUAGACUCUUAAUCAACAAAAAGAUGAAUGUAUACAUUGUGGGCCUUUAUUGUCCAGGGACCGGUUCAAUGCAUCGUCAUCUAGCCAGAUGCAAGCACUUUCCAUACGCAAAAGUCGAGAAAAGGCAAUAGAGUGCAUUGGGUCAGGUUGUUGGGGUCAGUAGUUCUUCUAGUCCAUGGAAAUUUGACCAAGAAUCUAAUAGAAAAGAAUUAGCAAUUAUAUUUAUUCUUGAUGAAUUGCCUUUCAAGUUGGUAGAGUGUGAGGGUUUUCGGUGAUUUGUUAAUAAAAUCCAACUAAACUUCAUAAUCGCCUCGAGUAACACUUUGAGGCGUACAGGGAAGAAAGAAGUAAAUUGAAGAAAUAUUUAAUUGAGACAUCUCCUAGAGUAUGCCUUACAACUGACACUUGGACCUCGUGUUUUAUCUUUGUCCACUUGAGCUUUUGCAAAUGUGCUUUGGAAUUUCAAGGAUGAGCUUACCCGAUUUGUACUGGUUGUUUGAGAACCUCAUUGGAACAAAAUCAGAUCGUGCGAUUUCCCCUUUUUUGGCCAACACUGAGUUUGAUUUAUUAGGAUGCUUGUCAUGCUAUUUAGAUAUAGUAGAGCUACCCAAUGUCAGGACAUAUGCACGGGUUGAUAAUUGUUAAUGUUCAGAGCUAAGCUUGUGCUAAAGUUUAUGCGUAAGCAAUGUAAUCCACAAAAAAAAACCCCCAAAAACCAAAAGCCCAACUCGGUCUAGUUUUUUUGUUUAGGGUCUUAUGUGUUUUAGGUCGGGUCAGAGUGUGCCCCUCAUGAUGGGUCGGAUAACAUCAAAAUCCAACCUGACCCGACCUGACCCAUUGACACCCUUAUUCUACGUAGUUGAACACUAGUCAAGGAAGUAUAUGCAUCGUGUAAAACAAACAAAAAAUGGGAAGAUUCCCAAUGCUCAUCUUCCCAACCUUUUUGGAACGACUAGCUAAUUAUGAGAUGAUUUGGUCUGCUUACCAAGAAAAAGUUAUAAUUAUUGUUUGGUGGUACUACAAUCAUCAUUUGAUACCAAAAAUUGAAGCAACCUCUUUUUUAUAUUUUUAUUAGUAUUAUCUUUUUAAUAUUCAGCAACAUAUCUUUUUCAUUGAUUAUUUUUUUCCUUCCAUUUUCCAUAGAAUGGAAAAGCAAAAAGCACGUAUCUUUUUCAAUCUCAACAAAUUCCGUUAAAACCUACAUAAAUAAAUAGAAACUAUACUAGAGUCCUGGAAAGACAAUAUAUAGAUUAAACACGGUGCUUGAUUUGUUUGCGUAAUUUUAAUCAUUUCAUUCCUCUUUUGAAACUUUCAUGAAAGAUUGGUUGUGAUUUUAUUUUUCAGGAAACAUGCUUCGAUUGGACCUAAACUUGUUUUGGAAGGCUUGGGGUCGAGUGAUGAUUGUCAGCAUGCAGGGACUGACAAGCAUUUUAUAUCAACAUUUUGGGUGACAGGACUCUCUCAAGUCUCGACACUUCUUGCAGUUGCACUUGCUUACCCCGUGAAUUCUUGAACUUUUGUUCAUGGUGGCGGUCGAAGACACCUGGUCGACUCGUUGUGGCUGCUGAGUCCGGUUGGUGUCACAACCGAGUGGAAUUGAAGAAGCCGGUCUCUUUGACGCCUCUUGACUCAUUAGGGCCAUGCUGCAUUUCCAGUUUUCGCCAUCGCCAUUUCUAUUUCCCACGCUUGUUUCAGUUCUCUUUGCUCUUCUUCCUGUGGGUCUCUUCCUGUCUGCGAUUUGCUUGACCAGAAUUCCAUGGACAAGAUAGAAUGGUUUGUUGGGGUUCUAAGUCGUUUCUUUAAUUAUGGAUUGCUUUUUAGCUGUCACAACUGUUUUUGGAACGAGAUCAUUACGGAGCAAUGCAGGACAAGGACUUCGUCUUCACUCUGUCUAACGGCAUGAGACAGAGGAUCUUAUCAUUCCAUGGUUUAUUGGAUUUGAUAUUGGAAUGAGAAUUUAAAUUUCUUUUGCGAUCCUGACUUUAUUCUCUCAACGGUGAAGAGUCUGAAUGUCUGCUAAGAAUGACUGACUUCAAAUACCAGAUUACCAGGACAUCAAGUUAGGAUGCAGGGGAGACCUCAUCAUUUUCAAGCUAGAUAUAUGAAUUGCCCUUGUGGCUGAUUAAAGAGAGGUACUCUUCUUCACAUCAACAUUUCUGAUCCUAAUAUACUCAUUAAUUCCUUGCUUAAAUCAGUUACUUCAGGAUCAAUGUGUAUCUUUUCAAUUGGUUUCGACAGUUCAUUCAAAUUGCCCAUCUUGGAUGGAGAACUGCAAAAGUUUAGUACAAGCAGAUUAAGCAUUUAUGCUGCGUCAAAGGCCUAAUCCAAUGCACGAAAUCUACUAGUUAUAGCCAGGAAUGUCUCAAAGACGGGAUAGGACAUGACAUGAACAGCAUCAUACGUAGAACAGAUACGAUAUGACAAUUGAUACAUCUUUUCUAUAAUCAUAAGUUUUUUGGGCCUUAUAAGUGACCAUUGUCUCAAAGAAUAUCACUCUCCCUUUUCAUUUGACUCAAAAGGUUCAACUCAAACAUGAAUAUCUCAGGCUAGCUAGAGCAGAUUGUGAACCCUACUUCCAGGCUUGUUGUCUUCUAGGAGCUGAUCUAGUCAUAUGUUACCAGAGACAAAGAUGUCAAUAUCCUCUUUAAAGCGUACUAUGGUGAAUUUAAUUGAGCUUUUCUGGAAAGUUAUAAUGGAAGAACUUAUACUUCAGAUACAAUUGCAAGUAAAAAUUAGUAGUUUCAGCUGAAAUGCUAUCAUUUCACCAAUGGCAAGAAAAUGACCAUGGACGUUGGAAGAUUUUUCACAUAUGUAAACAUAUGCAAUUAGGAGAGUGUCUGAUGUCUCAAUGCAAACUACGACAUACAAUUGAACAGAAAAUAUCUCCUUUUACCCUAGUUGGAAGUCCAUUGGAUAGCAGAAGAGUGAUAACCAGAGCACCUUUAUAUGGGAAGGAGGUAAUAUUUUUCCCUUUUUUUCCCCUCUGUAACUAAACAUGAUCAAUGAUAGGAUUAUUCUCACAGUCAGGAAUUGUCUCAGGAAGACGAGAUCUUGAGCCCCAGUGCUGGUUUAUCUCUAAAUAUCAUCCUUUGCUUCCUAUAACCUUCUUUCCACUUUGUUCUCCCUCAGUCAUGGGUGAAUCAAGAUUAAAGCCAUCCAACCUGGAAAGCCUAAAUGACUGCUAAGAUCCUAAAUUGCAAUUGCGAUUCAAGUUUGACCACCAAAAAAAAAAUCACGGGUCAAGACAUCUGUUUCAAAUGUUUCCCUUCAGUCGAAAAUAUAAUCUUAUGUAUUGAAGAAUAAUCCCAUAUGGAUGCAUUUUGAAGCUGUCUUGCUCAUUAGACAAAGAAAAGCUUUUAUUGGAAUUUCCUUCACUAGGUGAUUCUGCUUCAUUUCAGUCUUCGUUGUUUGAAGAUUUCUUAGAUGGGAAGGAAAAAUCAAGAUCUGGCACGUCCACUUUGUGUUGGAGAAAUCUUUCCAGAAGAUUUUGAAGCUGACAAAACAUUUCUAUCAGUCUAGUCUUGAUAUCAUUGGUUUAAAGUCUCAAGACUUUGUAAUCUAAAGUCUCAAGACUCAAGACUCAAGACUCAAUAUUAUUCUCACUGACAGUCUUUUUAAUCCAGUGGCGUAGGAUAUCCGAAGCCGAAGUAUAUGGUUGGGGAUUUGAUCCAAUCCUCUGGAAUAGAUACCUUGGUUGGAUAAUCAUUUUUUAUUCUUUUGAUUCUUAUCUAAGAUCAAUUGAAGAUCUGAUGGUCGACGAAACAUUCUUGGAAUGUUCUAUUCUUGGAAACCAAAAUCCUGAUUGUAUGGGCGAACAGGAUUGAUGGGCUAUCAUCAGAUUCCUUAAAUAGCUCGGAUGAUCUUCUUAAUUGAUUCCGUCCAACGGGUAGAUUGGAGGAAUUCCUUUGGUAAGUGCCAACGGCUAUGAUGGCAUAAAGGAGUAUAAAAGGAAGACGUUCUAGUUGUUCUAAGUGUGUGAUCGAUAGAUAAAUUCCAGAGUCUGAAGAACCUUGAUUGUUAGUCGAGACAGUUCGAGCGAAAUUGUAUACACAGAGAGUGGUUGUACUUGGUGAUACCUUGAGCGAGUGUAGUAGAUCAUCUACAUCGAGAAAUCAAGGAAGAUCAACACUGUAACAUCUCUUUGUUCAUAGUGGAAUCCAGCCAAUCGGCUGUCAGUGCAGAAGAGUGGACGUAGGCUUGAAUCAAGCCGAACCACUAUAAACCUCGUGUUUAAUUCUCUCUUUCCUUUACUCAGUCUUACGAUUGUUUUUAAUCCUUCAUCUGUUUAAGUAUUGCGCAAACUGCAAGAAAAUAUUCAUAAACCUAUUCACCCCCCUCUAGGUACUCGUACUAGCAUUAUCACUUUGAACAAUGACAAUUUGUCAUAAUCAGUAUCCAGGUAAAAUGGACAUCACUGAAAUAGGUUUUUUCAUAUUUAAUCCACAGAAAGCUGAGAUAUAACCCUCUCUCAUAAUAAUGGAGCUUGCAAACAAGCAUUCAUGCAUCUUCAGUGUCCUCCAUCGUUUGGAUGAUAUUUGAAGUGGUGGGAUGUAUGUAAGGCAUGGCUCACUUAAUCACCAUGGGCAUUAUUCUCCACAAAGAAGUAAUUGUACGGGGAAUAUACGUAAUCAACACUAGUUUGAACAUAAGAAUAUCCAAUUUAGAUUCCACAUCCAUACUAGUUUACUAUCUAACAACAUAUACUUUAAUUUUCACUUACAGUUUAUUAAAGUCAAAUUCCUUCAUCCUGCCUUUGCCAACUAUAUCAGAGCUAAAAUCUAUUGUGUCAUCUACUGCCAUGGACGACGACCUCCAGGAGAAAAGGAACUCCAGUCCAAAUUCAGCAUCUGUUGAUUUAUGACCAACAUAUCAGAUUGUCAUAUGACAUGGCCAGAAAUAUGUAUAUACAAUCUUCCUUUUAAAAUUAAGAACGCUUUGAUUUGAUUUUCGAGUAGAUACAAAGCAUGAUGCACUAAGAGAAAGGAGAAUCCCAGUGGCCCCGGAAUUUGCUAAAGAAAGGAAAGAACAAAAUUGGGAACCCCUUUGAGUUGGCUAUAGUACACAGCACCUCCUCUCUUUGUGAAGACAGCAUCUCUUUGUCAAAACAUUGCAGCUAUAACAUUCUUGCACUUAUCUCUUUUGCAGAAGCAUAUGUGAACUAGCCUUUAAGGGACCUCAGCCAGUCUAUUAAAGUUAAGAGCCCAAAAGUUGACAUAUAAACAGUUCAUACAGGAGCAGCACUUACUGAUACAACGUUGUCAGGGGGAGUGUCGCAAGCUUUAAAUUUAAGAUUGAGCGACCAAAAACAUAAACAUUUACAUGCCAUGGUCAUAUGUUUCUGAAGAUUCACUUCUCAUCAAUCCAUAAAUGCAAAUGUAAAGUAUCUUCGAUUUGACAGCAGUAAUUAAAUGGCCAUCUAACCACCCCGACAAUAGUGACGAUCAUUUCAAGAUUUCUUUGCCUUGAUUCAAGUGGGACAUUAGUCUCUCAUACUUCUAAUAAGAAAUGUCUGAAGAGGUUCAACUAUACUGCAAGGGGAUCCACUAUAGCUAUUGCAAAAGAUGAACAAUUGAUGUAUUGAACAGUUCAUAGAGGGGCAAAGCCGAGGGCUAAUCCAAUAUAAUCUAUGCCAAGCAAAGAGCAAAGAUGCUAAUUUAACAUGAGAAAUGAUAGCAUUGAGCUUUAGCAAUAAACUAAGGGCCGUUUUAUGACAGCCUGAAAAAACAUAGGUCCUAUCACAUUCAGAUCAUCCACUUUCCAGCACAAUUAAAUUCAAUUAAAAUGAAUGACUUGUAAAAAUAGAUAUCAGAACAGCUUCUUAUGAUGUCAUCUUUUCUUGGAAAAGAGAUGCUGUGAAAUAGCAUACUCUGUGUAAAAUGUGUGCCCUGAGUAGCGAAAAUUUACUGUCAUACCUCAGAAGUUCAGACUGUGAGCAGGAAAAUGCUGUAAGUCAUAGUGGUUUUGUCUACACAAGCGUUUACAUUACGGUGAAACUGCAAGGGACUAUAGACUUCCAGCAAUGGGCUUAUAGCAAUUCUGAAUAUAAAUUUACAUAUAAGCUUGUUUCAUAGGAAACUACACGACGCAGUUUUGGACGUCAAAUGCGCCAAUACCCAGAGACAUAUUCGAGAGUAAACAUAAUAAUUUAAAAUAUAGAAAUUUUCACUUUGCCCAACCUACAAAAUCAUAGAAGAUGCUCACGAAUGAACACGAUAAAGCAAACCAACACAGAUCACAAAGAGGGCAUUCCUAAAUCAAACUGACCCACUGUGAUGGAGGAUGGACGCGAAAUGAACGUGACAGUGAGAGAGAAGGCACGACAAAGCGAGAGUCCAUCGGAACUCUUCAUUUUGUAUCUCAUCACAUUCACCACCGCAAAACUUUGCGCCCUCACGAAUGACCUCUGUUUUUAACACUACGAAACAAGCAGCGAACACCAAUAUCUCAGAGCUGCGAGCAACGAAGAUGCAACGGAACUCCUAAGAAGCCUCAUAACCGAAGGACAUCGUUCGACAGAUUGAAAAAGCUCAAGAUCAAUGUGCAGGUCAACACAGAAUGAAUUACUAGACUGAGACAAGCAUAGGAUCCACGGGUACCUUACUUGCCAUUGUGACAGCAGGCGAGGUCGAGCGAGGCAGAGAGAGAUCACCUGCAUUCGAGUCGAGAAUUGAUGCUGAACUGAGACGAAACGUGAAUGGAAAUUGAGAUCACUUUUCCCGGACGAGAGAGGAGCGAACUGGUUUUCUGAGGCUUUGAAUGGCAACCGUAUAUAUAGAGUAGCUUCGAAUAAAUUUCCGACUUUGCCCUUCGGUGGGGGUCAUUUUUCACGAAGUUGCCCCCGAUAAUGCUCUAAUAUGUCUCAAAUAGGCCUCACGAUUAAGUCUUGCAUGGGCCUGGAUCCUUUUGAUCCAAACAAAUAUUGGUAGUAGCCACGUGGGCCCACAUUGGCCCCAACAUGAUCAACGGCCCUGACAGAAUUGAGACACGUGGACACGGGAGUAGGGAUCGGAGAAAGCCAAAAGGAAAACAACUUAAUCUACUUUUCUAAUUUUUAAAUAUUUAGCUCAUAUGACCAAACUAACAUUGUCUUCUUUGCCAAUGUAAUCGCAGUUUAAAUGAUAGGACUCUUACAAUUUCAGUGACCAAACUAACAUUGUCUUAUUUGCCAAUGUAAUCGAAGCUUAUAUGAUAGGACUCCCCUCUCCCCAAACAUGGAUUGAUUAAGAAUCAAGGGAUAAUCAAAGUUCUUAUCCUAAGCACCUUCACAAUUUAACACUUGAAAUCAUUGAAAGUAGUUUGAAUUAUGCAUAAAUGUAGUAUCUUGAAGGAUUGCUUCCAUUACAUGUAAAGUUGACAUUUAUCUUCUUAAUCUAGGGCCACAUAGCACAUCAUCCAACCAAUUGCAAGUUGACACGUGAUGUAAUAAAUAUUCAGAAACUACUAAAAUGCACAUGAUUAUGAAUUAAAUUAGCAAUGUAGACUGUAGAAAAUGCAUGAAAAAUAUAACUUGAAGAAGUAUUAUAGAAUCCAAACAGAUUUUGACUGUUGAUUACCUUGGAUCUGUACUUGGAAACCACAUGAUCAAAUGAUCUUGAUGGAUUCGAGAUAUGUAGACUUGCGUCUGGACAAGCAUUUAUCCUCAUGUUGAUAAAAUGUGUGUUGAGCUCGUCGAUUGCUAUUCAAGCCCAUCUCACACGCCUAUUGUCGCACCAAGAAGAGGGCACUUUUGUCUGAGAGUAACUUAAAGCUGGUUUGAGUAGGAAUUAAAAAAAUUCACAAGAAAAAUGUACGUCGUAUCAUUAUAUAAGGAGGAUUUGUUAAAAGUUGUGUUGUAUCACUAUUGGAACAAUGGUUUUAACGUCCCACUAAAGCAUUACCUAUUUGCUGAGCAAGCCCAUCACCGCGGCUUCAGUAGAUAUGACCAAGCCGACGAUUCACCUGAACCAAAGCUUGUCCUGCGUAGAGAGACUAACUAAAAAAAAAAGCUAAGUAAUUAUGUUUAUUUGAGGCUCUGGCGUAUACUUUGCUCCACAAAAUUGAAUGGGUUGUUUUUUUUUUUUUUUUUUUGGCCCCCUUUUUGGUCAUAGAAUGGGUUGGUCGUGCCUCUUGAAUUUUAUGUUGAAUGUCUUACAUUUGUUUUUCUCUGAUUAUUUUUACUACCUCGAAGUUAUUAUGUUUUUGCGAGCUUUAUGAAUAUUUUUAGCAAGCCAUACGUUCGGGUAGGUAAAGAAUGCAUAUAUGCGCGACAAACUUUUCUUCUAGUCAACAAGGAGUUGCGAACGUUUUUAGACGAGACUGGACGAGAAGGGGGGGCAAAGCCCUGCCCUCAUAAAACUACGCGUAGAAAUUGAUCAUGCAAAGGAAGAAGUAGAAGCAAUGAAGAUGAAUUUGAAGGAUAGGGAGCGCGAAAUGGUGGGAACUAGAGGAGACUGCUAACACCUUCACCACCAUUUAUUACUGCGGAAUGGAAAAUUUGCAACCGCAAAAGAGGAUGGACAUCGGUGCAGCAGCGAGUUCAACGGCAUCAACAUCCAUGGCAACAAUGACAAUAGCAUCCAAAAACGAAGGCUUUGAAAAAGUUGAUGAUGGGGGUUUACAUCUUUUGCCCAAAUGGUUUAAGAUUAAUCUGUUCUAAGUCGCACUUAGAUGCUUUCUUAGAAGGACAUGGAGGUUCAGGGAAGAUUCCCAGUAGCAUCUCCUACUUCAAAUGAAACGAAACAAAGAACUAAUUUUGUCCGAUACAAAGACAAAAAACAAGGAACAGCACUAGAAUCAACAGGUGGAGCUACGCCUAGACAUCAUUAAUGAAACAACGAACGACUAAUGAUCAAUUCUCCAAGUCAAUCAUGGUGUCUUAUCAGACGGUACAGACACAAAUUCCCUCCCCCUCAAGAAUAGAGGUGUUAAACGGGUGGAUCAGGUCGGGUUUGAAUCGGGUCAUUAAUGAGUCGAUCCAAAUUAACCCAUUAACCCAUUUAUGACCCAUUUAAGUUUAAUGUAAAUUUUCUGACCCAUACCCAAUCCGACUCAUACCCGACUUGACCCAUAUUAAUAAAAUAUUUUCAUUUUAACCAAAUUUAGAAAAACUUAUUCUUAUAUAUUUUUUAAGAUUAUAUUACUAAAAUAUUUCCAAGCUUAUUUCUUAUAUAUAUUAUUUUUAAAAAUGGUAUUGCUAAAAUAGUUUUAUACAACAAAAAUUUAAUGGACAAUUUUUAUAAUUUUUAAAAUAAUUAUUUUUAAAAAUAUAAUUUUAAUUAUUUUUUAUUUUUUUAAAAAUAAAUUUGUUAUUAUUUUAUUUAUAAAAUAUACUUUUUCUUUUUCUUUUUCUUUUUUCUUUUUCUGUGGCCGACCGUUGGCCACAAGCGAGUCUCGAGCUCGCUCAACGCCGGCGAGCUCGAGGCUCACCAGAUCGGCGAAGCUCGAGCCUCGCCCAACAACGGCGAGCUCGAGUCUUGCCAGAUUGGCAAGGCUCGAGCCUCGCCAGCGUCAGGUGAGCCCGAGCUCGCCCCUCACCGGAUCUGGUGAGGUUCGAGCCUCAUCGGACAUCGGUGAGGCCUUUGCCUUGCCAGAUAUGGCAAGCUCGAGGCUCGCCGGUGUCGGGUGAGCUUGAGCUCACCCCUUGCCAAGCGUCGGGGCCUCACCAGAUCUUGCGAGGGGCGAGCUUGAGGCUUGCCUAACCGGUCGCCGGCCAUCGCCAUGCCGGCGACUAGAGGAAGAAGAAAGAAAAAAAAAAAGGAAAGAAAAAAGAAAAAAUAAUUAUAAUGUCGGUUUUUAUAAAUAAAAAAAAAAUUGCAAAGUUAAAGAGAGAAGAGAAAGGUUGUGACUUGUGAGGUUUUGAGUGAAAAUAAAUGGAUUCAUUUUUAAUGGGUUGAUAAAUAGAUCUUAAAUGGAUCAGAGAGCUGACCCAUAUGAGUCUGACUCAUAUAUCUCAUUCUUGACCCAUAAAACCCAUUAUGGGUGCUUUAGGAAAUAAACCUUGACCCAUUAACGACCCAUUUAAACAUAAAUGGGUCCAUAAAUGGGUUAAUGACCCAUUUUGACACCGAAGCAUAAUCAUCUUGAUUCUCAGGCAGUAAAGAACAUAACGCAGAUCUCUGCUCGUCUUCUUCUGGUGGGCUUUACAUACGUUGCGGUUUGUGGAUGGCAGCAGAGAAUGAUCUCCAUGACUGAAAAACGGAGUCUGUUUCUCUAUUAUUCUUAUAUGCUUUGUUGGGACAUUCUUGUUGCAUUACUUGAAAUUGUAUAGGGUACUUGACCGGCUUUCACUGGUCCUGCGGCCGAUAACCAACGUUAGACAAAGAAUCCACUAACCGCCAUGUUCAUCCUUCUUCAUGUAAAAAAUCUUGUGAAAUAAGAUCAAAUCUUUGUAAAAAUUUGUAACCCAACUUUUCUUUUUGGUCGCACUUUUUGCUUGUCAUCUAGUCUUAUCUUAAAUUCUUGAUAUCACUUUUGCACGAAUUACUUAUUUCGUUCGGAGCAUUACCUAUUGUGUUCGCGUAAAUUAGCAAUAAGGACAAAACUGAUGAUAUUAACUGCAGCACAUUUUAUAUAUUCAAUUAUCAAUUAUCAUAACUUAUAAAUUAACUUGAUUAAUUGAGUAAUAUGUUGAGGAAAAAGCCAUUGCCCACGCAGCACAAUAUGAGUAAUUUCGGGCUUUUUGGUUAACCAAAAUUACUUUUUUGACCCUAAUACUCUUUGUUGGCAAUAUAGGGCUCGAAUGAUAACCAUUUGGCUAGAAAUUAAUUUCUAGAAGAGAAAUAGAUUUUUCUAUUUUUAUUCUUGGAUGAAUUUCCAAGCAAAAAUACGUGUUUAAUAAUGAUAUAAAAUUUCUAUUUCCAAAAUAGAAAUUCGCUUUAUAAAAAUACAAAAUUUCUUCCGCCUAAGUGGUGGUGGACAGCAGACAGAGGCAAAUGUCGGUCGACGACCAGUGGCAGCGGUUGGUGGUUAGCAGAUGAUAAUUGGUGGCUGGCGAUCGAUGGAUGAAGAGUGGUAGCAAACAACGACGACAGCAGUUGAUAGACAACGAUUGAGCAGACGAUAGACAACGGCCAGUAGUGAUGGAUGGGCUACUGGAUAGAAGUAAAGACGAACGAUAAGAAAAAAUUUUAUUUCUCAUUUUUGUUCUAGAAAUAGAGAAGUAAAAAAUUCUGAUUUCUGUUCCAAAUCUAAUUCUAGAGUUAAAAUUUAUUAUAAAAAUAGAAAAAUGAAAUAAUUUUAUCAAAUAGAUUUUUAUUUCAGAAACAUAUUCAGAAUAGAAAAAUAGUUUAGUAUUAGAAAUAUAAUAGUUAUCAUAUACUUUGCUUUUUCUUGCACUUUGCUUUUUGGUCUUCCGAGGAGUCAUCAUGAUUUCAACUUUUAGAAAAGAGGAGAGCCUCUGUUCUUCUUUUCAUACAUUGUGUUUGAUCAUUGACAUGGAUACUCGUUUAGCAAGUAAUUUUUUAAUAAGUUACUACAGUCUUCUCGAAAGUAUCAACUCGUAUUUACACUUCAAAAUUUACUAUAUGCUUUCAUAACCUACCAAGUUUAUCAAACUAGUGUUGAAAACGCUUAGAUUAAAAGCAAAUAAUUUUGAUAUCCAAACUAAUCGUCAUUGUGAUGGCACAGAUUGUUUUCUUCACUCUGUGCCCAGUGGUCGACCUCCAUUAUCAGAACCAGAGCCUCGUUCAGUUGAAACAACUUUGACAAUUGAAGCAUUUUCAUAGCUGAAAACACAUAGGACAUCGUUGAGAAGAUAUAUACCAGUCCAAAAAAAAGUGCACAAGUAAAAUAUCUAUGAAAGGAUGCAAGGGGGAUCAUCGAUCACCUCCAACGAGGUAUGGAACACAUUAUAACAAGAUAUUCAAACCAUGUUCAGACAUCACGCAACAUGCUCGGAAUAUCACGAAAUUAGAUAAAAGAGUGGUGUUCAAAUAAUGAUCCAGUUUCCUAAAGUAGUCCACCACAUUCGUUGUUUUAUCUCCGGCACCAUCAAGCACAUUGUGUGGGUUAGUUGCAUCGGGCGAUGGAUAUUUAAUUAGUAAAAGAAAUAUCAGUCGCUAUCUUUGAAAGUUGCAGAAUCCUAAUAGACUAAAAUUUCAACUCGACAACUAUCAAUGGGAAAGAAUGACCAUAAAAGUUCUAAAUCUAUUAUAAUUAUGCAAAUUCAAUCAUAAUUUUUUUAAUCAAUUAAGUCAUAAACAUUUUCCAAUUAUGCUAGUUUAGUCAAUCUGGCCAAAUUUUACUAGCUAAUGCUUACGUGAUAAUUUUUUAAUAUUUUUUAAAAAUUUUGUAUUAAUUUUUUUUUCCUUUUUCUCUUCUCCCUCCUUUGGCUUCAUUUCUUCGCAAUGGCUGGCGAGGCUCUAGUGAGGCUCACCGACCAUUGAGCAAGGGCUUAGCUUGCCAAUGCCUCAUAGGCCACUACAAGUAAAAGAAGCCAAAGAGGAAGAAGGGAAAAAGGAAAAUGAAAAAGUAAAAAAAUAAAAAUAAAUAAAUAAAUAAAUAAAAUUAAUAAAAAAAUCGAAAAAAAUACUAAAAAAAUGAUUUAAAAAUUUCCAUGUCAGUAUGGAUCGAAAUUGUCGGCUAGCAUCUACCUCAAUGGUGCCCAGCCAAAUUUGGUCGAAUUGACUCAAUUUGUAGAAUUAUAAAAUGUUUAUGAUUAAAUUGGCCUAAAAAAAAAAAUUAUGUCCAUCCAAACUUUUAGUCCAAUCUACUCAAUAAUCUUUUCAGAUCCAGUUUUUGUCGAUAUUCAACUUUGCUUUGAGGCUUCCAUUAUCGGCCUUCUCUUGUUGGAUUGACGUCCUCACCGAAUGUCCUUUUUUUUUUUUUUUUUUUGCUUUUAGCCCGCAAGUGAAAAUGUCCCUUUCUUGGAUUCUUAACAAAUGAUCCACUUAGCAAUCUUUGCAACUUUUUGAUAUAUAAUAUAUAACAGAUAUGUGCAUUUAAGGUCUUAAAACUUGUCACAAAAUUGUAAUUAAGUGCUGAAACUUUACAAAAAGUGCAGUCGAGUCUUAAAAUUUACUAAAUUGGUAUAAUCAAUAUUAAAGGCGUAAGUCAUAGUUCAAUGUUAAAUCCAAACUCAACAGAUGCUGAAUUUGGAAAGGAGUUCCUUACCUACCGAAAGUCGUUGUCUGUGGCAGAAGAUGACGCAGUGGAUUUUAGUUUUGAUACAGUUGGCAAAGGCAAGAUAAAGAAAUUCAACCUUGAUAGACUAUACAUGAACCUUAAAGUAUAGGUAGCUAGUUAAUAAGCCAGUAUGGAUGUGAAAUCUACAUUUAAUAUUAUAUCUUCAUACUUGUGUUGGUUACAUAUACUCACCGGGAGAAUUACCAAAAAAGUCAUAAACCUAUUGCAAUUGUGCCAAUUCAAUCCUAAACUUUUUUUUUGUCCAAUUAGUCCUAAACCUUUUAUAAUUGUGUAAAUUUAGUCCAUCCGGCCAAAAUUGGCCGGCCGACACUGACGUGGACGUCGGCGGGGGACAGCUGGCUGGCGAGGUAAUUUUUUAAUAUUUUUUAAUAUUUUUUUUUUCGAAUUUAUAUAUAUAUUUUUAAUUUUUUUUUUUUUUGCCUUCUUCUCCAUCCUCUGGCCGGACGCCGGCCAGAGGUGAGGGCCGGCGAGGUCAGCCUCGCCGGCCACUGGCAGAGGCGAGCCUCGCCCAGCGACGACGAGGCGGCCGUCGCCAGAUCUAGCGACGCUCAACCUCGCCAUGGUUGGGCGAGGCCGAGCCUCGCCAGCUCUGGCGACGGCCACCUCGCCGGCCACUGGUGAGGGCGAGGGUCGACCUCGCCUAGUGGCCGGCAAGGCUGCCGUCGCCAUCGCCACCUCCACCGCCUCCCCCGUCCCCCCGAUCGUCGGCACGAUCUCCCCCUCCGAGCUCAAGCGGCCCUCCCCGGCCGUGACCGUUGCCAAAACCCUGUUCCAACGCCUCUGGACCGACGAGGACGAGAUCGAGCUCCUCCGUGGGUUCCUCGACUACACCACACAGCGCGGCAGGGCCUUGCCCUUGCCAGUGGCCGGCGAGGGCCGAGCUCGUCGGAUCUGGCGAGGCCGCCGUCACCAGAUCUGGUGAGGCUCGGUCUCAGCCCAGCCAUGGCGAGGUCAAGCCUCGCUAGAUCUAGCAACGGCCGCCUCGCCGUCGCUGGGCGAGGCUCGCCUCCGCUGGGCGAGGCUCGCCUCCGCCAGUGGCCGGAGAGGUCAGCCUCGCCAGCCCUCACCUCUGGCCGGCGUCCGACCAGAGGAAGGAGAAGAAGGCCAAAAAAUAUAUAUAUUUAAAAUAUUUAAAAAUUCGAAAAAAAUAUUAAAGAUAUUAAAAAAUAUUUAAAAAAAUUACCUCGCCGGCCGGCUCCCCACCGGCGUCCACGUCAGUGCCGGCAGGCCAAUUUUGGCCGGAUGGACUGAAUUGGCACAAUUGCAAUAGAUUUAUGACUUUUUUUGGUAAUUCUCCCUAUAUUCACCCCUGUACAAUUACCUCUUUGUGUAAAAUAAUGUCCGUGGUGAUUAAGUGAGGCAUGCUUCACAUACUAUUCAACCACUUCAAAAAUCAUCAAAACGAUGGAUGAUGGUGAAGUUGCAUCAAAGCUUGUUACAAUCUCACUUUUAUGAGAGUGGGAUAUAUCUCUGCUUUCUGUCGAUUGAUUGUUAGAAAACCCUUUUCAGGGAUGUCGAUUUUAACCUGGACGCUGACUUUGACAAGUUUUUAUCUUUCAAAGUGGACAUGCGAGAUCUUGAUUUAUCCUGUCCAUCUAAGAAAUCUCCAAACAAGGAUAGAAGUGAAGUAGAAUCACCCGAUGAAGGAAAUUCCAAGAAAAUAUUUUAUUUGUGCUUUGAUUUUAACGAGUCAGACAGCUUCACAAUGUAUACAUUAGGGCUUAUUCUUUGAUACAUAAGGUUAUAUUUUCAUAAGGUUAUAUUUUCAAGUGAAGGGAAAUUUCAUGACUUGUGAUUUCAAUCUAGGAACUUAGCAAUCAUUUGUGCUAUCCAACUAAUUUCUCCACUUGUUCUUUAUCAUCAACAUCAUCAAGUAUAAUGACAACUUUCUUAUUGCAAAGUACUUGUUGAAUGCUCUUCAUUCUAGAAUCAAUUUCAUUAAUGGUCCUGGUUCUCGCAGGAUGGCUAAUUUUGGAUAAUAACCUUUUAUUGCAAGUCAACUAAGCCAUCCGUUUUCAAUGACUUCGCUCACAUGUCUUCAAGGAAACAACAAUACUUUCCAAAAUGAAAAGAGAGUUGGUUGAAAAUGACUUUGGCUAGAGUAGUUUUACGGAUACCACCCAUGCCAUAUAUUUUAAUGAGUCUCACACCAUUGGAGUCAAUGUCUAAUAAGUUGCUUACUGCUAGUAUUUGCUUGUCAAUUCCAACUAAAUGCUCAGUCACCAAUCUAUGUUUUGUCUUCAAUUUUUUCAGGACCACUUCAGCUACCAAUUCAAUUAGCUCCCCGUGGCUGUUGUGACCAUAGAAACCCAUCUUACCUGGUGAAAAAUGCAAAAUCGUGAUUACCAAGCAAGAAGUGAUGUUAUCCAAGCACUGAAUAAAAUACACAAUGAUCCGAUAAGUAACGGGACCUUAAUAAUCUAGAAGUGAUAUUCUAAAAUGUCGAUAAGAAGACCAUAGGAAAUAUGGGUCGUUGAGAAAGUGGCUGAAACUUGAACAAGGGAGUCAAGUAACUUUUCAUGACGAAGACCAUAAGCUCGAAUGCUAUUGGUCGAUGAGAAAGAGGGCCCGUCUUGAGAAAAUAAUUGUUCGGUGAAUAGGAAAAGAAAAACCAAAAUUGAUGAUGUGAAAUUUCAGCCAGAUUGGAUAUUCUUAGAAAAAUAUAGAAUUUUCUAUUUAUCUAUUUUUCUUUCUCAACUUCUUCUUUCCUUGUAACCACUGUUGAUAUAUAUUGGAUAUUUUUAGGAAAAUCUAAUUUUGUAAUACUCCAAGCAUGUUGCGUGAUGCCUCCGACAUGGCUUGAGUUUCUUCUUAUAAUGUGUUCCAUGCCUUUUUCAAGAUAUUCGAUGAUUCCUUGCAUCCUUCUGUAGAUGUUUUAUUCAUGCACCUUCUUGUGGACAAGCAUAUUUCUUCUCAACGAUGUCCUAUAUGUUUUUGGCUAUGAAAAUGCUUCAAUAGUCAAAGUUGUUUCAAUUGAAUGAGACUUUAGUUCUGAUUAAUGGAGGUCGACUAUUGGGCAUAGAGUGAACAAAAUGAUCCAGGCCAUCUUGGUGACGAUUAAUUUGGAUUUUAAAAUUAUUUGCUUUAAUUUAAGCAUUUUCGACAUUAGUUUGAUAAUAUUGGUAGGUUAUGGAAACAAUUCGUAAAUUUUGAAGUGCAAAUAGGAGUCGAUACUUUCUAAAAACUGUUAUAGUAACUUACUAAUAUAUUACUCGCUAAAUGAAUAUACAUGUCAAUGAUCAAACACCAUGUGUGAAAGGAAGGACAGUGGCUCUCUUCUUUUCUAAAAGUCAAAAUUAUGAUGAUGCCUUGGAAGACCAAGAGGCAAAGUGCUGGGAGUCGCUUAGAAAAAGCAUACUCCUAAAUGGCCGACAAAAAGGUAAAGUUGGUUACCAAAAAAGCCCAAAAUUACUCGGAUUGUGCUGCAUGGACAAUGGCUUUUUCCUGAACAUGUUACUCAAUUAUUCAAGUUAAUUAAUAAGUUAUGAUAAUUGAUAAUUGAAUAUACGAAACGUGCCGCAGUUGAUAUCAUGCUUUGAAAGGAGAACGUAAGUUUUCUUUUGAUUGCCAAUUUACACAAACACGACAGGUUAUAGUGAUAUAAUGAAUUUAGGAUAAGGUUAGCGUCCGACAAUAAUUAUGACAAAAAAGAAAAGUCAGUUGACAAAUUCUACCGAGAUCUGAUCUUAUUCCACGAGAUUUUUUUCACAUGAAGAAGGAUGAACAUAGCGGCUGAUGGAUUCAAAGUCUAAUAUUGGUUACAAGUCCCAGGACCGUGAAAGCCGCUCGAGUACCUAAUACAAUUUCAAGUAAUGAAACAAGAAUAUCCCAACAAAGCAUUGGAGGUCGUUCUCUGCCGCCAUCCACAACCCACAACAUACAUAAAGCACAUCAGAAGAAGACGAACAGAGUUCUGCAUUAUGUUCUUUACUGCAUGAUAAUCAAGAUGAUUAUUCUUCUUGAGGAAAGGGAAUUUGUGUCUGUAUCGUCCGAUAAGACAGCUUGCUUGUAAACAGAGAUUCACUGGGUACCUAGUCUUAAGCUAGAUUAGCAUCAGCCUGUGCAGCACUUUUGUAGCAAUUUUCAAAUGAAAACUUUCAUUCUUCAUCAGGAUAUCUUAGGACUGUCAACAUUUUCGCCCCCAUCUAUUUCUUCAUGUUGGAAACGUUAGAACUACGAAAAGAAAAUGGAAUUGGGCGUGGCCGUGGAGAACAACGGUUUCAAAAUCAAUGACGACAAUGAUGGCAGCAUCCAUGAAUGGAGGCUUUGCAAAAGAUGAUUGGGCUCUACCUACAUCUUUCUUGUGAUCUCAAUUUGUCUAAAAUCAAUCUGUUCUGAACAUGAAAACAUUUGUUUUGAGAACUUGUCUUCAGUAGUUGUUGAAAAAGGCAAUGUCACACUUUGAAGCUUUCUUGGAAGGAUAUUGCAGGGUUCAAGGAAGGUUCCCAGAAGCAUCUCCUUACUCAAAAGAAACAAAACAAGAACUGAUAUUGUACAUAAAACUGAGAUUUUCUUGUUUUUUUUUUUCGACAGGUAAAGUUACUUUUAUUUUUCCAAACAUGGGACCUGCAACUUGCAUGCGCAUUUGAAGAAGUAUUUAGCCACUAACUUUGGUUUUUUUAAUUAUCCGCCAAUAGCAUUCGAUCUAAUGGUCUUCCGUCGAAAAAAAAAAAAAAAAGAUCUUCUGUUUCAAUCAUUUUAUAGGUUCAGGGAAGGUUCCCAGAAGCAUCUCCUAAUUCAAAAGAAACAAAACAAGAACUGAUUUCAUACCUAAAACGGAGACUUUCUUGUUUUUUUUUUUUUUUUCCAACGGGUAAGAUACUUUUAUUAGCCCGAUAUAAGGAAAGGGUGGAUCAAAGAGAAUAAAUAAAAUAUUGUGUGCAAAAAAGCAAAGAAAAUAAAAAAACUAAUCAUACUUGAAAUGAGGUAAAUUAAUGCAUAAUGAAAGUUUAAUUCCUUGACUUCCACGUAUGUCAUGCCAUAAUCUCGUUCUUCCGAACUGUUGCACAUGGGGCCUGCAACUGCACGCGCGACAAGCCAGCUAGCUGUGACCGUCCUCAGAUGUAAACGUUCUCAGUUGGCUUUGGCUCCUGCUAAUGGGGCCUUCAACUGCAUUCACAAGUGUGUCGACCACAACUUUAGUUUUUAUUUUUAAUCAUCGACCAAUAGCAUUCGAUCUUAUGGUCUUCGUCGUAAAAAAUCGCUACAUCCUGUUUCCACCAUCUUUUCAUAGACCCAUAGAAUUCUCCUAUACCUACAUUAUUUGCUCAUAACGUGUUGACGCGGAAUAUUUUCUGUUUCCACCAUCUUUUCCUAGACCCAUAGAAUUCUCCUUACUACAUCAUUUGCUCUUAACGUGUUGACGCGGAAUAUUUCUCUACUGAAGAUCAUCGAGCGAGAGACGGAGAGAGGGAAAGAGAGGUCUGCUUAGCUGUGCAAAUUACUGCUAUGGCAAGCUCCAAUGCUAGAACAUCAUCGGGAAGCAAGUACCAAGUGUUCCUGAGUUUCAGAGGACCUGACACUCGGACUGGAUUUACCGAUGUCCUCUUUCAUAGUUUGACCGAUGCUGGAAUCCACGUGUUUCGAGAUGACGAAGAGCUCCGUGUCGGUGAAAGAAUCGAUGGAGCACUUCUGCAAGCGAUCAACAACUCCAGGAUCUAUAUGCCGGUCUUCUCUCGGAACUAUGCUUCGAGCCAAUGGUGUCUUUGUGAGCUCGCACAGAUCGUGGCAAACACCUCGAAAUCGGAAGGUAAUAAAGAGAUCCUACCUAUUUUCUUUGAUGUGGAACCUAACGAUGUUAAAUUGAAAACCCCACUAUAUCACAAUGCCAUACUCAAUUUGGAGCACAAGAAGAAGUUGAGCAACGAGCAAGUAAAUGUUUGGAGAGAGGCCCUCAUGGAGGUUGAUGCCAUAAAGGGGUGGGAGGUGAAGAAAUACAAAGGGUAAGCUAGCUAUUUUCAAGAUACUUGUUUCCCUAAUUUUCCUUAACACUUAAUAAUAGAUCUCAAAAUUCCAGAAUGAUUGAGGUGGGAUUUUUAUUAUAGUAAUACUAAAUGAUGAAUCUUUACGUCUACAAAACAAAAUAUGAAGACAUGAUAUUCAACUUCUACAGUUGUUGGUUGACAAUUGCACAAAUUUUUAUACAACAAUUUUGCUCGAAAAUCCCAAGAUUGCUACUCUCAUGUUGGAAUCAAGUUGAAUUUCGGGUCAUGACAUAGCAUCAACGUUGUCAAGGGCUUAAAAGUAUGUUUUGGAGAGACGUUAAUGUCCAAUAUGGACUUUUAGAAUAUCACUCCUAGGUUUAAGGUCCCAUUACUUAUCAGAUCAUUGUGUAGUUUAUCCAAUGCUUGAAUGACAUCACUUCUAGUUAGGUAAUCGUGAAUUUUCUCACUAAAAUGGAUUUUCAUUGUGGCAGCCACGGAGAACUAAUCAAAUUGGUAGUUGCGAAGGUUGUGGAAUGUUUGAAGUCAAAACAUAGAUUGGUGACUGAACAUUUAAUUGGAAUCGAUGAUCAAGUAGUAGCAGUAAGCAAAUUAUUAGAUGUCGAUUCCGAUGGUGUGCGACUUGUUAAAAUUUAUGGCAUGGGAGGUAUUGGAAAAACUACACUUGCCAAGGUCAUCUUCAACCGACUUUCUUCUCAUUUUGGAAAGUGUUGUUGUUUCCUUGAAGAUGUUCGAGAGAAGUCAUCAAGAACCGAUGGCUUAGUUCACUUGCAAGAAAGGUUACUAUCCGAAAUCGGUCAUCCUGUAGGAACAAAGAGCAUUGAUGAAAUUGAUUAUGGAAUUAAGAGGAUUGAAGAAAUACUUUGUAAUAAGAAAGUCCUUAUUGUACUCGAUGAUGUUGAUAACAACAAACAAGUGGAGAAAUUAGUUGGAAAUAUUACUUUAUAUUAUGGAUCCAAGAUAUUGAUUACAACUAGAAAUAAAGAUAUCUUGCAAGUCAAUAGACAAAAGUAUCAGAUUUUGGAUUAUGAAAUGGAGGUGAUGAGCGCUAGACAUGCGCUUGAGCUUUUCAGUAGGCAUGCAUUUAACACAGACUUUCCUUCAAAUGAUUAUGAUUAUCUUUCAAGGGAGAUUGUAUUUGCUACCGGGAGACUUCCAUUAGCUCUUGAGGUGAUUGGUUCGUUCCUCUACCACAAACCGCAAGAACUAUGGAAAGAGACAUUGCAUAAGUUAAGAAAAGCACCUCAUGAGGAUGUUUUUCAAAAGUUGAAGAUCAGCUAUGAUGCCUUAAAUUUCGAGCAACAACAAAUUUUUCUCGAUAUUGCAUGCUUUUUCAUCAAUAAAGAUAAGGCGAAUGCAUUCUACCUAUGGAAAGGUUGUGAGUUUUUCCCAAAUACAGGAGUUGCUGCUCUCAUUGACAUGUCUUUGGUAAAGAUUGUGGAGAAUGAUAAGUUUUGGAUGCACGAUCAACUUAGAGAUAUGGGAAGAAAAAUUGUUCUCCUAGAAAAUCCAAUAAAUCCCGAGGAGCGGAGUAGGAUAUGGAUUUGUGAGGAGGCUCUUAAUGCAAUAAGACCAAAGCAGGUAAAGCACUUAUGGAGAGAUCUAACUAGUUUUUCCCAUAGAUUCCACUCCAUUGUACCUUCUUGGGUUUUUUUUUUUUUUUAUAAUCCUUUGGCUCUAUGAGAUAGAAUACUGAUAUCACUCAUUUCCUAUUCUCAUUUGUAGAUAAACAAGAAAGUUCAAGCACUAUCUCUUUAUUCAUCUAGACAAAGUAUGUGUGAUGUCUUUGUUCGAAUUAAAUGGAUUGGAAGGUUGGAACAUCUAAGAUUCCUUAAAUUAUCUCACUUAGACCUUGUUGGAGAUGCAACAUAUUGCCUUCCCAAAUCAACAUGGAUUUCUUUGAGUUAUUUUCUGCAAAAAUGGACCAACACGUGCCUAAAGAAUUUAGUCGUUCUUGAAUUUGUCAAUGUUGCUUUCCUUGGUAAUUUGGAAUUCUCAAUCAAGGUGCGUAAUAUUCUUAUUCCUAUUUUAUUUUCUUGGAAAGUAAUAUUCGAUUGUUCAUCUAUUGAGUAUUGCUUUCAUUUUGACAGAUGGCAACAAAAUUGAAAGUUCUUUCUUUCAAAUAUUGUCCAGACAUAAUCAAAACACCUGACUUCUCUAGAUGCCCCAAUUUAGAGAAGCUUACUUUCAGAUGUUGUCACAAUUUGAGGAAAAUCAAUGGCUCUAUUGGGAAGUUGAAGUGUUUGAUUGAUUUGAGGAUUCAUUGCAAUUCUCUCAAACAUUUGCCUAAAGAAAUCGGGGACCUAGUGAAUCUGCAGUAUUUUGAUGUACAUUGCUAUAAAAUGAAGAAACUCCCGAAUUUCAUAUGGAAGUUGAAAUCAUUACGUGAGUUGCACUUUCGAGGUUGUACUUCUAAUGAUUUAGAUUAUGCAAAUUCAUGGACGAUACCUUUUGCUAUUGGAAUGCUCCAAAAUUUGGAAGUGCUUCAAGUCCAUAAUCACUCUUUACAAGGUCGACUUCCUUCUAGCAUUGGAAGUUUGUUCUUUCUAAGAAUCCUAAAUCUAUCAGAAACUUAUGUCAGUGAAGUUCCAAAGACCAUCAGCAUGCUUCCUCGGCUACAAAGAAUCGAGUUGAUGGGAUGCGACAAUAUUCAAGAGUUGCCGACCCUCCCAACAAGUUUAACCCAUCUAAAGGUGUCAUCUAAAUUGUUGCGGGUAGUCUCAGAUCUUUCAAACUUGACUAAUUUGGUUGAGUUGGUUCUAGGUGAUCAUGGAAUAG